GUUGAUUAAGAGGUCUAAAUCCUCCUCUAACACUGAUAAAGUAAAGGUCAAGAGGCCUGCUACUGCCACUGCUGCUGUGGGACAUGGGCUUCUCCCAAGGCCGACCCAAGUUGAAUGCAAGCAAGACAGCCAAGCAGAGAGACAACUGUGUUAUAACAGUGCGAACCCAUGAAGGUUUCCCCAUUGUUAACACAGGUCUCACAGCCUCAGCUAUUCAACUGGUAAUUGAUUUCACUCAUAGAUCUGAAGAUAUAUGAGGAACGUAACCGCCGUCACCCGUAUCUCUAAUCUCCUCAAUGUUAUCUGUAGGGACCCCUCCCACACGUGGCACACAUUUUCAUCCGAGUUAAUCUCAUCCGGAUUUCCCCAAGAGUACACGUGGUGCGCUUCUCCUAUCCGGACUCCCUCAAGAAGAGGCACACGACACUCACAAACAUAACAUCCAGAUGACUGCCACAGCGCAUCCGGACGACCGACAUACACUAUCCGGGUAUAUAUAUCCGGAUCAUUGAUUGAAGUAAGCAAGUCUUACACGUUAUUACAACAACCUGUCAUGGCCCACGUUCCGCCACCUGUAGGGUGAAAGGACAAGAAUGAAGUGACGGCAAGUCACUUCCUGCGAUCACUUCCCACGAUUUCUGACAGUCGCAGCAACUACCACGAUCUCUAUCAGCCGCCUAUAGGGUGAUGAUGGCCCUGCCACCACCUAGUGUCAUCAUGACAACACAAAAUAUCUCCCUACCAUUAAAGAGAGAAACAAAGCUUCUGAUAUUAUAUAUAUGAACCUUCACACAAGGAGUAAGGUAAGCUUGCUAUACCUAGUAAAAUGCCAACUGAUUUAUCUCUCUCUAACCAUGGCUGACAAAACCAUCGGAGGGUGCGUCCGGACACCCUGUCCGGACGCCUUUUGCAGGUAGUACGAUUGAAUCAAGAAUCUAUAUUAGUUGAGAUCGUGCAUCCACCCAUUUGGCAACUAAGUGGAUCACCAGGGAUGCGACGCUUCAACAUUAUCAAUUGCUUGAUUAAGAUAUUCGCUAAUGAAGCUCCACUUGGCAGGCAGGACCCAUUAUUGAAGGGAAAUGCCUUUAUAGUUCGUUUAUAUUAUGGACUCUCGGACUAAAAUCGCUUUGUCAUAUUUGAAACUUUCCUCACAAACAAACGCACCAUCAGCCAUUAAACAUCAUAUUUCAGCAUUCUUUUUUUGCACAUUGUCACAUUCCUAUCUCCUAAUUUUCAAAAAUUAUUUUAAAUUUAAAAAUUGAGUUACCACUUCAAAAUAUAAACUUUUAAAAUAAAAUUAUGUACAUUUAAAUCCAUACUAAAUAUGUGUAUUUGCGUUUAUUGCCUUGUAAUAAUAUUUUAUUCUUUAUUAUUAUUAUAAUUUAGAUGAGUUGGUUCGAUCUAAUAUAAUAUUUGAACAAAUUUGGAUAUUUAUUUUUAAUAUUCCGAUUAGACUUUGGUUCAUUUUUUAAACCUCAUCUUAAUUUGGAUUUGACUUGGGAGAUACCUCUAAUGAAAAUUAAUAUGGUUCUCUUCAUACAUUCUAUUCUACUUUUCUUUUAAUAUCUUUGUUUAUUCUCUCGUAUUUUCUUAUUCUUAUUCUUUUAUUUCACAACAUGUUAUCAACAGAGUUAUGAAUAUAUAGAAAAAGAGAAGAAUACUUAAGGUAGAAAAGAAAAAGAGAAUAAUUCAUCUACAAAAUUUCUUAUAGAUAUGUAGUCUUAUUCUCUUCGAAUGAAAUAUGAAUAGUAUGCAUUGUAUUAUUAUAAUUUUUAUUUACUUUAUCUCAUAACCAGAAGUUAUGUGAAUCAUAUUUCAUAUAAUUACAUAUUUUAAUUAUUUAAUAACUAGAAAUUAUAUAGAAAGUUUUUUAUAACCAGAAGUUAUGAAAAAAUAUAUGUCCAAUCUUCAUAACUAGAUGUUAUGGAGUAAAUUACAAAAACACAAAUACGUAGUCGGAAGCUAUGCAUAAGAUCCCUAAUUACUUUUUAAUUGUAUUAUAUAUCUAAAAGUUAUAUAAAAUAACAUUAUAUGGCCAGAAGCUAUAUAAUGAAUAGUUCAUAACAUGAAGCUAUGUACAAAUCCAAAAUUACAAAUAUACGACCAGAAGCUAUGUAUAUAACUCAUAAUUAUUUGUUUUUAAUUAUAUAGUUGUGGACCCGCAAAUUUCACGUGCGCCCCCACUCGAUCGACGAGACUCGCUUUUUGUUGGUGAAAAAUUAAUUUUGGAAAAUUCAGAGUCACCACUUAUUUUAUUUUUAUUUUAAAGGGAAAAUAAAAUAAGAAAUAAAACUCUAAAAAAAAUGACUCCAUAAUUUUUGGAAAAGCGUGUCUUUGAAAAAAAACCCGAGUCUAAGUCCGGGGAUUAGGUUACUUAUUGGGUAGGUACCUCUAGGAGGUAGCAUCUUUCUAAGCCCUAAAGAAGUCUCUACUGACUAAAUUGGGGGUAAUAUAGCAAUUAAUUGAUUAAUUGGGGAUACCAAGAUAGGUUAAAGUGAUUUCAAAAAAUAACAUGCCAAAUAGGAUCAAAUUACCAUAAAAGAGAGUUAGGGUGCAUACUUGGACGACUUCUCAAGAGCUAUCAUAAAACAUGAAAGUUAGUAUUGAGAUACAUCACACAACACGCAUUUUAUCAAAGAUAAUCAAACAAUGAUCAAAUAUAUAUCAAGGCAAUCAAACAGGAUAGCAAGCAUGGACAUAGUACGCAACGACAAUCAUAUUCAUAGGGUUUAGAAAGUGGGUAUUAGGGAACGUACCUGGAUAGCAUUUAUAACUCCUAAUGCACUUCCUCAAGACAUGGGGGUUAGAUAAUAAAUAAUAAAUAGUAAAUCCUAGCAUGCUUAUCUAAUUAAUUAGCAAAAAUUAUCAGAAUACGGAAUAAUUAAUUAUCAUACAUAUCUUGUAUACAAUUCCUAAAAAGAAAAAUGUAAAUAUAAUUACAAUAAAUAGCAGGGUGGUAGUAAAAAUAAAUUUUGAAAAAGAUUUUCUUAUGUAGGGGUUUCACCAAUUCCCCAAAUUAAUAUACACAAAUUUAGCCUAAAAUUAUCCCAUUUAUUUGGGACCACAAGCUUUCAUUCGCGUUUUGUUCAAAACCAAAAUUUUUGUUGAAAAUUGAGAAAGAUGUGAACCGAUUAAGAUACGGUUGCAUAUUAUUUUUUAAAAAAAAGAAAAGAAAAGAGAUUUUGAUUCUAGAGGCUUUAAAUGAAUUUUAUAAAAAUAAAAUAAAAUCUUAAAAGGUUUUUUUGAGAAAAAGAGUUUUGCUUUAAAAUAAAAGAAAUUAACUUUUAAAAUAGCAAAAAUAGAAAACAAAAUAUCAAUCAAAACAAAAGGAAACAAAGAUCACAAAAUAAAGAUUUUAGAAAUUAUUGUCAAUUAAAGUGGUGAGAGUAAAGGCCAACCUUCAUGGGUUUCCAAUGGCCCUAAAAAAAAAAAAAAAAAAUUUGACCAACAAUUACUAAGGCAACAAAUUUAUGACUUCCUAAUCAAACAAACUAACAAAAUUAUCAUACAAAAACUAACAUUUAGAUUUCAAGAAACAUAUGAAUAACUAGAAUUAAAAAUGUAAACUUUACCUCACAGGAUCAAUUAAACUAAAGAAUUAAGAUUGAUAACACGUUCAAAUUAAAAAUAAACUAGAAUUUAAACUAAUCGGAAUUAAAACUAUAAACUUUACCUUACAAGACCAAUUAAACUGAUAGAUUUAAGAUCAAUAACUCAUUCAAAUUAAAAAUAAACUAAAAUUAAACUAAUUGGAAUUAAAAAUAUAAAUUUUACCUCACAAGAUCAAUUAAACUAAAGACUUAAGAUCAAUAACAUAUUCAAAUUAAAAAUAAACUAGAAUUAAACUAAUUGGAAUUAAAAAUAUAAAUUUUAUUUAAACUUUCAUGUAGAUUAAAAUAAACUAGCAUAGAACUAAUGAAUUGCAAUCAUAAAAGAGAGACAUUUAAUCUAAGAAAAAUAAAAGAUUGUUCGAAAUCGAGAUUUAAAAGAAUUUAUCACAAACAAUUAAUUAAACCAAUCAACAAAAACCCAAACUAAAAAAAAAAGAAAUAAGAAAUAAUGUAUCAAAAACCGAAAACUAACCUGUAUUGUAUCGGAAAAAUACUCUCUUGAUGUGUCAAAAUGACAGCCCAAUUAGUCUUUCAAGUCCUCUGCCAUUCCCCAAAAAAAAAACUCUUGCGCGUGCCCUCUCAAAAAAAGAUUGCCUCUUGUAUGUGGAUCUCUGCUCCAAAAGAAAAGUCCUCUCCCUGCGCCAAAGAAAUAAAAUUCCCGUGUCUGUCUUCUCUCUUACUUCUUCAUCAAUUUUCAGCCGUUGAAGACCCUCGUCAAAUGCACAUAUAUUUAAUAGAAAAUUCAGUCACUUCACUAACAACAAGGAGUCAUAAUUUCCUCCACUAUUCUGCCAUAAUUUUCAGCUCACUUAUCAAUGCUCCUUCACCAAAUUUCCAACGCAUUUCAUUGUGAAUUUUCAGCCAUGAAAAAAAAGCUUCCAUUCACAGCCACAAUUCCCGUGUGUCCACCACAAAAUUCAGUUUUCAAGAAUUCACCUUUUGCAUGAAACUACCAUCAAAGGAAUUCUCCAUAUGCAGCCAUAUAUUCCGUGAUUCAUCCAUGGAGAUUUAUAAAUUCAAGGCCAUUAUCUCCAUUAAACUAUUUUAAAAUUCAUCCAUGGAGAUUUAUAAAUUCAAGGCCAUUAUCUCCAUUAAGCUAUUAUAAAAUUCAUCCAUGGAGAUUUAUAAAUUCAAGGCCAUUAUCUCCAUUAAGCUGUUAUAAAAGUCAUCCAUGAAGAUUUUAUAUGCAAGGCCAUUGAAACCUGAUUGGAAUCAAGUAAUUAAUAUUCACAAAGUGGCUGCCCAUUCUCCAUCAGAAUCAAAGUGUUAACACGGCUGAAAGUGAAUGAAAGCCUUUCCCUUUAACCAAGGCAUCAACACGGCUGAAUGUGUAUAGAAUCUUCUUCAUUAAAUCAAGGCGUCAACACGCGUAAAGGGGAUGAAAUUCCUGCCCGCUUCGAUGGAGAUCUCCCCUCCUUCCCAGAAUAGUGCAGCUGAGUUCCAACCCCCCACCUCAAAAAUCUGAUUCUAAAUGUCUCCGACCUGUUGUGUGUGUAGCUCUCCCGAUCUGACCUGUGCGCGUGUUCUUGGAAAAUCAGAAUUGUGCGUGGACUCCUUCAUGCGGCUGUGGAGACUUCCUGAAGUGGUGUGUGGCUGUUAGUGCGUGGUCCCCAUGCUUGAGAUUCAACUUAAGCACAUGCAUGCAUGGAUUCCUUCAAUGAGAUAUCCUUACUCAUUUUUUGCAUGAGUUUGUUGACGUAAGUUACUAGGGAGAGGGUAAAUCCUUUCUUUCUUUCGCUAUUAGUUGAUCUAAAGGCUUUUAUGGUUAUUGAGUGCACUAGACUAGAAACAUACUUGCCCCAUUAGCAUGCAUAUAACGGAGCAACCAGCCCCCUUCAACAUCUCUCAUAACGUGUUCUACACUGUUGAAAGCUAAAUCCACAUGAGGUGUGUGAUGCAUAGCUAAAAAAACGCCAGUGACUAAAGAUUUUCGGAGAAGUGAUGCAAAACCUGUCUAGUCCUCUCUCACUGCAAGUCAUAGGGCCAGAAAGUCAAGCAUGGCCCAGCCCGUACCUCUCUUUCCUAGCUUCAUCUUGGCUACGCUCGAUCAUGAAACUAUCUCACCUCCGACUUUUUUUCACUAUUUACUCUUCUCUCAUUCAUGCACCAUACAUCUUAUCUGUAAUGAUAAAUUCAGAAUUCAAUCUGCUGUUUCAGUCUUAACCUCAAUGAUUGCUGGUUGAUCCUGAACUUCAUGCUUAUUUGCCCUUUGUGCAACUCUUAUUUUUUUCUUGGAUUGGUGCACAUAUUCUGCUGUUAUAAUAUGGAUCUUGGGAGUAGGCUUACUUGAUGAGGCAACAUUAAAACUUGACCUUUUUCCCGGCUCGGUGGAGAUAUUUCUGAGCCUAUUGUAAGUGGACGGUACAGAGAACAAGAAUGAAAGACUUCAAUAUUGGCUUCCCACAGGUUAUGGGUCCCGUCUGCACUGUCUUGAUGACAUAAUCACAGGGCUUGUAAAUCCGUUGUUUCGGAUCACACAGAAUAUGCAGAUAACAGAACCUUGUUAGCGCCCUCGCCUAAUCCUCCUUGAACGUCUGUAUAAUCAAAAGCCCCUCAUCUUCUUCCCAAGACGUCAAUUUCUUUUUGUAUGGAAGUUUCCAUAUAUUCUUCUAUGGGCAGCAACUUCUUUUCUUCCUUGUAGUCGUGUCUUCCUUAUAUGCAUGGUGGAGGUAACUUUAUAAAAUAAUGCAGCUGUCACUUUCCUUUCUCUAAAAUUUUGGUGAUCUUCCUUCCAAAUAGAUGGCAGCCCGUUUUUUAGAAAAAUAAUAAUAAUAAUCUUAUUUCCAUCCUUCAUUCAGCCGUGAUCUGCUUUCCUUUCUUCAACACUAUAAAUCUCAUUUCCAUGUUGCAUAGAAUAUCCCCACAUAUAUGCAGCCGUGUACAUUACAUCAAGAAUCUUCUCCAAUGUGUGCAUUCGAAUCUCAUGCCAAAAUAAAAAAAGAAUUAAAAUUAGUAAAGGUCAUGAAAUUGAAAAUUAAAACUAAUUUAAAAUUAUGCAAUUAAAAAAACAUUAUGUCUAUCAUAGGUACACAAAAAUAAUUAAGACAUCAGUUUACACAAUUAAUCAUCAAUCUCAUGCAAUAUUCUAUCAAAUAAAUAAAUAAAAACAAAUAACUAACCAAAUAAUAAUAAAUAAACAAGUAAAUAAAUAAAUAAAAUAAAAUAAAAUAGAUAAAUAAAUAAAUAAGAAAUCGAGUACAUGCAAACAUUAAAAGUGCAAAUCAUGCAAAUUAUGUAAGUCAUGUAGGAAUUACUGAAAAGGUGACAUAGGUGGGCCAGGAUGCCUAAGUGGACCUAAAGUGAGUGCGUGUAGGCUAGAAGGUGCCUAGAUGGGUCUAAGCGGGUCAAGGUGAAUCUAAGUGGGCCUAGGGUUGUGCUUAAUGGGCCAAGUGUAUUUAAAAACUAUCCUAAAAAUGAAUGAAAAGCCUAAUUCUAAAUUAAGGCUGCCAAGGGUCACAAUAAGGAGUCAGAUAAUCCCUCAACCAAAGUCUCCGAGAUGGCUCAAAAAAAGUAAGUAGUAUGAGUAGCUAUGGGCCACCAAGGAACUACUGUAAAGUAUCAAAUAAGUAUCUAAUAGGGCAUGUGCUAGGAGGACAAAAUUGAGGGUCUACAAUAGUAUAACUGAAAGUUAUACAAAAUAAUAUUUUAUACCCAGAAGCUAUAAAAUGAAUAGUUCAUAGCUUGAAAUUAUGCACAAAUCUGCACAAUGAAUAGUUUAUAGCCUAAAGUUAUGCACAAAUUUAUAUAAAAAAUAGUUCAUUGCCUAAAACUAUGUACAAAUUUAAAUAUUUUCUUGUUCUAACAAAAUAAUCAUAACUUGAAGCUAUGAAAGAUAUUAACUUUUAAUUUCUUUAUUUUCUUUUAAUUAUAUUGUUGUGGACCCCGCAUUUCGGCUCAAUGUGUUUCCCACUCGAUGGCGAGCUCGAUUUUUAUUAUUUUUGAAAAAUUGAUUUUUAUUGAUUAUUUGAAAAUGACUUGGAGUCGCCACUUAUUUUUGUUUUAUUUUUAAAGGGUAAACAAAAUAAGAAAGAAAAACCCUAAGUGUGACUCCUCAUUUUGGAAAAGGUGAUCUACGAAAAUCGGAUCAGGUUCGGGGGUCAGGUUACUUAUCGGGAAGGUACGGUAAAGACCGUAGCACCCCUCUAAGUCCCUAAGUCGGGUCUCUACUAAUGAGAUGAAGCUGACAUGGCAAUCAAUGAGAAAAUCAAUAAAUACUCGAACCAAUCAUGCACAUAUGAGAGUCAGAAAAUGCAUAUAAACUAACCAGAGUGGGAAUGAAUGUGUACCUGAGCAGCGAGCCACUAUGCGCUAUCAAGAGAGAGGGUUAGUGCAAAAUAAAGAGCAUAAACAUAGCUCACAUGUCACUAAAUCGAGUACAAAAUCAUCAAAGGCACGCAUGACACUUCACUCAAAAUUCAUUUUUAUUUUAAAGAAAAUUUAUUUGAUGUUGGGCCCUCACCAAAGCCCAUUUAUUUUGCACGAAUCAAUUCCAUAAAUCCCAUCACCUGAGAAUUACAAAAUUUGAUUUUUGGCUUAUUUUAAAACAUUUUAAAAUCAGAGAAGUUAUGAAAGUUGCAUGCCGAAGAGAGAUGGCGGCAAAUUUUAUUAAAAACAGAAUUUUGGAACCUAAAGAAAACCUAAGGAUGAAAGAUGGUAAAUAUUGAAAUUAUUUGAAAAUCGAUGUUUAAAAAAGUUAUUUGCAAGAAAGGAGUCAGAAAAUUAUUUUCUAAGCCAAAAGAUUGAUGGAAUGGGAGGUGACACGUGACCCAAAGGUGGCCAUGCAGAGAAAAUCCCAUUAUUAACCCACUUUGAAGGAGUGUUCUUUCUCUUAUUUCCUUUCUCAGUACAACGAGCCUGAUUUGAGGAAAAAACUGAGUCAACUUCCAGAUUUAGGGCCUCUCAGCAAUCCUUGAUUUGAUCUAUUCUGGGUUCGACAAAAGAUCUUCCCUCUGCAUCUCAAUCUCUCUUUCCUGGUUCACAAUCUCCUUGGGAACAUCUUCUAUAACAAGAGAUUGCACUUGAGGACAGGCAACAACUUGCAUGGCCAGGUCAUCAAUUAGCUUCACUUCUUAUCUCUCAAUUCGCAUCUUCAACAGUUUUCAAGCAUAGAGUCUCCUUUCCAGCCUCACCUUGGCCUCCUGAGUUCCAUUGCUUCUUGCAUCACUCGCCUCGCUUUACAGCAUGUGAAGUCCUGUACUUCCACUGGAGCCCAUGCUAAACUGGCUAUGGAUGGCUUGAUGGAGUUGCUGCCGAAGAUGAAAUGAGUAAAGGGCCCCUAAGUUAAACCCAUCAUGUCGUCCCAUAGGAAAAUGCUGAAAUUGCAUCAUAGAUACAACACUAUCACAAAGUUAUUCUUUCCGGUGAGGGUCCAUAGGAAAAUCAGUAAUUCCACCCUUAAAUCCUGGUAAUACAGGAAAAUCUUCAUUCUGGAUACUGAAUUCUCAGUUUUGAUGGACAACUCCAAUGCUUUGUUUCCACAGAGAACCCAGCUAUCCUUGAAAACUACCAGCAGAAUUGGGGUGAGCGAUCAGUUGGGGAAGACAGCAACAACACGCACUGAAUUUGUGACGAAACAUCUGAAAAGCGGGAUACUAGCUGAUGAAGAGUGUAGCUGAACAAGUGAUGAGAAAAUUACUGACAGCACGGUGUGGGUCGCCAUGGAUGGCACUCUAUAGACGGGACUGUGGUCUGGGAAUGAGGCUCUCCGAUGUGAAUAAUCGGUAUCUUAAAGGCAGUCUCAUCAGUUAUAACUUGGGGAUGCAAACCGCACACCCAUAUCAAUGAAACCAAUGAUAACAUACUCUUGAUCCUUGAUGGAAUAUCAAUCUAACGACAUAGGAAUCCCAGGUCAAUCUGUGAAACAAAGGGACCUCAAGGUGAAUGGUCAGCAGUGCAUUUUCGUCGUCCUCACGGAAAUUGAUGUCACAAACGGGCCUUCAUGAUUGGAUUUUCCUUUUCACUGUUCCAUUGAGGAUGGUAUUUCCCAUGCAUUUUUCCAUUUUGCAUGAAGAUGAGAAACUUCAGAACAAAUCUCAGCAGCAUAUGUACGUGCCAAAUCCUCUCUGAAAAGACACGGUUGCGAAACAGAAAGAGUGACCCCCAUUUACAAAAUCUGACGAAAGGCACAGUCGAUGUUUGGUCUGAAAUGAGUAUCGGAGCUGGAUAAUGAAAGGGUGAUGAGUUGGAGUGGUUUUGGGUGCUAAUGUAGAGUGAGAACUGUGAUGACGGGUAUCAGUGGGUGAUGGCAUCCAUGAGUGAGAAAUGGAUAUGCAUGAAGGGGUGUGGUGUAGAAAUGGAAAAGGUGGCGGAGGAUUCAUGAAGGUGUAGGGCUAUGGGCAUGGUGGUGUGGGAUUCCAUGAUGUGGAGAUAAGAGUGUGGGCAUGGUGAGGAUCUUACAAGUUGAUGGAAAAUGGUGAGAGAGGAAUGGAUGAUGAAUUGCAUGAAAAGUGGUUUGCAUAUGGUACAACAGUGGGAGAAAUGUGUAGGUGGGUAUGCGGUACAAAAAAAGGAAUGGGUAUAGCAAGCAUGAGGUGUGAUAGCUGGUGCAUGAUGACAAGAGUGAUGGUGAGCUUGAGGUGGGUUUGAUGCCGUGGAUGCAUGCAUGGGAGUGAUGGUAUGAGAUGUUGGAAGUGGGCAUGGGAAUGGUGGUCAAUGAGAAGGGUGAUCACACAAAUGAUGGAUACGAGUAUGGGGUAACAUGAUGAGCAAGCGGGCAUAGAGAAUAAAGAUGAAGGGCCCAAACCAUACUUCACCAGCUAUCUUAAGAUAAUCCAAAUCACCAGCACUAAGGGGUUGCCUUGAAGAGAGGAGUAAACUGUGAAUCUGAACUUGAUAUUUUGCCAUAAUCAACAGAGGGUCGUGCCAACAUGAGAGACCCAAAGACAGAACCAAUACCACUUCCAACAACACUGAAGACCUGAAUAACUUGAAGAUCGGUACAGUUAUUAGCCAGGUUUCUGAUGCAAUUUGAACAGAGGUUGAUAUUCUCUUUCCCAAUGAUAUAAUGGCCACAGGCAAAGUUAUUGAUAGCGUCCUCCUUGACACUGAUGAAUUGCUCUGAACGAAAAGGGUUGCCUGUGUGCUCCAAGCUCCACUUAAUUAGUUACAGUAGGCUCAAAGUAUGCUGGAUUGGCACGAAAGACAUGCUCCCUAGCAUCGGUUUCAUCUCAAUCUCUUUUGGAUGACCAUAAUAGGUACCAAAGAAGCCAUGGUUGCUCAACCUGGUUCGAAUCUUCCCAAAGACUCUAGUACCGAUUUCCCUUAGAAACGCCCAAUCUCAAACGGCCGAUCCAAACAAAACAACCAACACUCCAAAAGAAUACCAAAAACAGAGGAGAAAAUAUUGAAAGAAUGACACAAAAUAAAGCGAGGAAAGCAUAUUUUCAGAAGUUUCAUUUCAUGAAUCAUCCAUGAACCCUCUGAUUAGGUGAGAAAGACCCAUCUCCCAACACGACUACAAGCACUCAGCAUAACAGAGACUAUCAUACUCAAACCAGCAGUGGAUAAAAAUGAAUGCAAGAUUUAAUCUCAACAAACAACAAAGCCGCCUUCAUUAUCUACCCCAAAACAAACCAAAUGAGUAUCCAAAUAUCAAAAAAAAAAAUAUGUAGAAGAAUGACAAACGUACCUGAAAAUCUCUUUCUCAACCAAGUAUAUGGGGCUUCAAAUCCACUGCUCUGUUUCUAGCUUGCUCUUUAAGUCAAAACCUUCCUCUGUAACUUGUUUGCCUUCCCAGAGUUUGAACCUCUUUGCUUCCUCAAAACUCAAGAAGACCUCUCUUCUCAAAACAAUAUCCUCCUAAACGGUCAGAAAAAUUACCUUUUCUCUCCUCUCAGACUAACACUCUCUCCUCCCCCUCCCCCAAUGGAACCUCUCCUAUUCUCUCUCCUCUAUUUUUCCUCCAGUAGCAAAAACUUGAAUCUCAAGCAAGAAAAUCGUCUCUGAAUGUGAAUCUCUCCCCUCUCCAGCCAAACUUCGGGAAGGAAACCACACUCCUCACAGCAGAAAAAUGGCUAUCACCCUCACUCUCAGUAAGAAAACUCUCCCAAGAAAAAAGCUCUCUCCCCCUAGAAAAUCUCCUUUCGCAGCCCAGGCACUUCACCUUCUGAAACUUAGAACUCUCUGAAAAACCCCGCCUGGAACCCCCACUCUCUUGACCUCCAAGCCAAAGGAAAAUCCCCCUCACGGCUCUCUCAUCACUGCAAAAAUCCCGCACCUCCCUCCAGAAUAUCUUUUUUUUUUUUUUUUUUCUCCUCUAUAACAACUUUUCUUUUUCUCCCGGAUUUGCCCCUCCAACCCACUCUGCCGCAACAGCCCCCUUCCUCUACACCACCCCUCUGCUAAUAACAGAAGACGCUCCUCAAGACAACGGCCUGCAGAUCCUCAUGCCACCUGUCAACCUUCCAUUGGCAUCCUAAAAGCAUCAUCUGAUUCUGCACCAGCCUCUCAAGAGAAGACACGUGGUGGAGCAAGGCUCUUCCACGUGGCAAAAUGAGCAGCUGCCUGAAUGGCCCCAAAUGGGGGGUCUACAAUUGUGUAACUGGAAGUUAUACAUAAAUAGUUCAUAGUCUGAAGUUAUGCACAAAUUUACAUUAAAAAAAAAAGUUGAUAACCUGAAUCUAUGUAUAAAUUUGCAUAUUUUCUUGUUUUGACAAAAUAAUUAUAACUCAAAGUUAUGAAAAAAUAUUGGCUUUUAAUUUUUAUUUCGUAUUCACUUAUUUUUCACAAUAGAAAUUAUGGAAAACAAUUUUUAUUAACAAUUCUUUCAUAGCCAGAAACUAUGCAAACAAUUUCUAAUUCUCUUGUAUAACCAGAAGUUAUACAAAACAAAAUUGUCAAUGAACAACUAUGUACCUAGAAGAUAUAUAAUUUUUUUUAAAAUUUUGUUAUAUAACCAGAAGUUAUAUCAUAAUAUAAUUGUCAAUUGUUUAAUGUUAUUGUAACAUUACUUAAAUUUUAAUUAUUCAUAACCUGAAGCUAUGAAGAAAAAGUUAGUAAAUUAAUAAUUGUUAGAGCUUGUAUAGCAAGAAGUUAUAUGAAUAUAUAUAUAUAUAUAUAUAUUAUAUAACCAAAAGUUAUAUAAAUAUUAUUAUUCAUAAACCGAAGUUAUGAAAAUAAGAAAAUUAAUAUUCUUUGUGCUAAUAAAAUGUUAUGUCAAAGUUGGUAAUAUGUACUUUUUUAUAGUUAGAAGCUAUAGAGAACAAAAUUGUUAACUAACAAUUUUGUACAACUUUAUGAAAUUUAUAUGACCAAAACUUAUAAUGAAAUAUAUUAUAGCUUGAAGCUAUGAUAACAAGCAUAUAGAUAAUAUUUACAUAUUAUCAAAAGAUUAAUAUUUUGUAUAUCAAGUUAUACAAAUAGACAAUUGUUUGAUAGUUUUUAUAAAUUUCUAUUAUUAGAAGUAUACUGUCAUUAGUAGAAAAAUUUAUAUAUAGAUGUGGAAUUUUGAAUUGCAUGAAAGUAUGAUAUUUUUGUAUUAUAGGUGAUAGUUUGGAAUAUUUUUUUUAUUCUAGUUAUUUAAUAUACAAUAAUAUUUUGAUUUAGAAAUUUGAGAUUUUUUGGGUACAUGUGAAAUAUAUGACUUGGUCAUAUGAUUAAUAAAUUGAUUUCGCAUGUCUUAUUUGUUUAUAACAUGUUUUUAUGAUUGAAAAUUUUUGAGUUGUAUAAAAUAAUAUAUAUUAUUGCAUGUUGUCACAUAUGAUAUUUUUAUUAAUGCAUUAAUUUCAUUAUUCAAGAAUAUCUUUUCAGAAACAAUACAUUCAACUAUUAUUUUUAAUAUAUUAUGUUAUAUCUUUACAUACAUAUUUAUAUAGAUUUGUAAUGUUUCGAUUUAAGUUUUGAAACAAUAAGAUGCUUUAAAUCAUGAUAUGUUCUUUUGAAAUUUUGAUUUAUGAAUUAAUUUCUGCACAUUGAUUUAUAUCGUAAUAAUAUUUUGAAUAAAAAUUAUUGAUCUAUCACUACAAUUAGUUUGAUUAUUGAAAGACUUCCUAGUUAUUUCAUAUAUAAAUUGUUCCACACUUAUAAAAUCAAAUGUGUGAGAUAUUUAAGAAACAAAUAACUUUAAAUUAUCUUUUUCAUAUUUGUUUUGUUGUGUUAUAUAUGCUUUCAUUGUUUUUACACAACUUAUUAAGGUAAGUCAUCAUCGAUGACUAGUAUAUUUCCAUUUGAUUUUAACUCUUUUUCUAUGAUAAUAUUUCUUCAACUCUAUAAAGGUGAGGUCUUUAUGACAUGUUUUAUGACUUGUUAUUUUGAUGAAACUCUUGUCUCAUUAAUUGCACAACAUUGAUGACAGACAAUGUUAAUACUAUAUCAGGUGAUAGAAACCUAAUUAAAGGCUCCAGAAUAACUUAUACUAUGUCAUUAGUAGUAUUUGAUUCUAUGUGAAUGACACUUUAUACGAUGCUAGAUCCAGAAGAAUCUUGUAAGACCAACUUAGUUCCCCAUGGUAAAAGGUCGUAUGGAUGUACAUUAUAAAACCAGAAGUUUUUAUUUUGUAACUAGUCUAUCUAUACACUUGAAAGAUAGAAUGACACGUUGUGCAAAUUAUCAUUUUAAUUAGACAAUUUUCUCGCCGUUAGGGGUAGAAGAGUCAAUUCCAGAAGAACAGCGUGAAAUUAUUUGGAAUGCAUUGACUUUGACUUAUCUUGAUCCUCGUACUAAUCAAUGUGAAGUGGAAGUUCAAAAGAUUAUUUAUUUGCAAGAACUUGUAAAUCAACUACUAAAUGUUUUCAUUGAUGCAAAGAAAGUGACGAUCAUUUUCACUUACCUAGAACAUUCCAGUACGAAUUAAUGUCCCUGAAUGACAAUUAAAUAAUGCGUUGAUGUCCCUGAAUGACGAUUAAAUAAUGAGUUGAUGUCCCUGAAAGACAAUUAAAUAAUGAGUCUAAUGCACACUUGUAGACCCCCUUUUAGGUCAUUCCUACCUUGCAGCUCAAUUUUACCACGUGGAAGAGCCUUGGUCAGCCACGUGUCAGCACCUGAGAAGCCAUGAGAGAAUCAUAAUAGUGGUUUGGGGAGCCAAUCAGGAGGUGACGCGUACAUGGGAAUAUACUGGCCGUUAGAGGAGCAGAUGCUGGCAGCUGGAGGUGAGGUGCUUUUGGAGAGGUUGCCAGCUGCAGGAAGGGGGUGUCGUCUGGCAGCUAGAGGAGCUCUCUGAGCAGGCCGUUAGAGAUUUUUUUUAGGUGAGAGAGGGAAGCUAAGAAGAGGAAAAAAAAAGUCAGAGGAGAAAGGGGUGAGAGUUUGAGGAGAGUUUGAGAGAGAAAAGAGAACCUGAGGGAAAACGAGACAAGAAGGCUGGUGAUAGGGAAGCUGACAGCUGCGGGAAGGUGGUCCGGGCUGCCGUUGGGUGAUUUUUCGAAGGAACGUUUGAGGCUGGAAUAGAACAUCGGCACUCUCAGGUAUGAAAGCAAAAGGUUUAUUGUUAGUUUUUUAUUCUUAUUGAUCCUCCAUAGUUGCUGUUGAUAUUUUGAAUGUUGUUUAGUUUGUUGGGAUGAAAUCUUGCUUUCACGGUUGUCAUUGCUGAUUUUGGUAUACUCUGCUUCUAUUAUGAAUGUGCCUCAAUGUUGUGUUUAAAAUGGAUUUUCUCACCUAAUCAAAGGGUUCAUGGAUGGCUCAUGAAAUGAAACCUCUGAAAACCUUUACUCGUUUUCUUUUUGUGUUUUUUUUUGUUUUGUUUUUUUUAUUUCAAUGGGUCCUUCUUUUGUUGUGGCCAAUAUUCUGCUUCUGGGUCUCGUUUAAUGCCAUGGCUGUGAGAAGAGGUUAUUUUGGGUUAAAGAAGCAAACAAGUUGCAUGAGGCUACUUUUGGCUGUUAGAGGGGAAUAUUUUUGAGGGAGUAUUCUUUCUGGGAAAGGGAAAAACGAGUUGUUGAAGCAGCUCCACACCAGAAAAAGGUGAAGGGAAUAGAGACGGAGCCCUUGCAGAAAGAGUGAACCCAUCUUUGAACUCUAUUCAGCUCACGUUUUGACCCAAAAUCUAUUCAAUAUCACUGAAGACAACGUGGGAAAUCUCUGUAUGUCACUCGAAACUGAACAGUAGAAGAAUUUGUGGGACGAUAUUGAGGAAGUAGAAAGGCUUGAAUGUAUUAAAAUUCUCAGAGGUGUACUAUGCACCAGGGCCUGUCUUGAGGGGAUAGUUUCUUGGCUAGUUUCAUGCUGGUAUUGGGAAAAGUAUUGGGGUGCUGCUCAUGACUUGAGUGAGGGAGAGAGAUCUACAAAGAGGGAAGUUGCUGGUUUUGACGACAUUAGAGGAGGAUUCAGGGCAUUUAAAACAGAGGAGGUUUCUGGAAAGAACAAGGAGGGCAUUGUGAGGGAUUCUGGCAGAGAGCGAGAGGGGAGGAUUCUGUUAGCUAGGGGACAGUUUCUUUGCCUGAGGGCAAGUUGUAGGGAAAAGGGGGAGAGGAAGAAAAGGAAAACGGGUGGCAGCUGAGAGGAUUUGUGAGGAGAAUAGGAUGCACAGUUGAAUGACAUGCAGCCAUGGAACUCCGUGCCUUUGAUUUUGGUGUGCCUUAAUGGAGGAAUUAUUUUUUUAAUGAGAGAACUCACAUGUGGCAGUUCAAUGGCUGAAAUUCUUCAAAAAAAAAAAAAAAAGUCAAUGAGUUAAAGUGGUUAUACAUGGAGAAAUUAAUGGUUGAAAUUCAAACGGGUGUACGUGGUGGGUUUUUGGAAAUUCAAUGAUGAAUAUUCAAGGCAUUUGAUAGUGCACAUCAACUAGCGAGUCGGCAAUCCGGAUGCACAGUUUUUGGUUUGUUUUUAUUAAUUUCACUUGCUUUUCAUAUUUUAAUUUUUCUUUUAAUAGAAAAUUGUUCGAGUGACUUUGGUUUGCUUUUAAAGAUCGAUUUUAAAUUCUACUUUAAUGUUUAAUUCUUUAACUUCUUUUAAUUCAUCCUUAGCAUUCCUAAUUUACUAAAAUCCAAUCUUAAUAAUCAUCCUUAGCAUUCCUAAUUUACUAAAAUCCAAUCUUAAUAAAUCAUUUGUUAUCGUAUUUCUUUUCCACUUAUGCAUGAAUUGCAUGGCCACCUUUUAGGCCACGUGUCACCUACUGUUUCAACAUCUUCGACUAAAACCCUCUUUUGUAAAUAAUUUUUAAAUUCUGUUUUUUUUUUUAAAUAAUCCUAAAAUCUAGGUUUUUUUUUUAAAAAAUUUCAAAUAACUUCAAUUUUUUUUUGAAUUUCAUCAUUAGAGUUUUUAGGUCCCGAAAAUCCGUUUUCCAAUAAAAUUCGUUGCCAUUUUUCUUCGGCAUACAUUUUUCGUUACUUCCAUGCUUUUAAAAUAUUUUAAAACAAGCAUAGAUUCAAUUCCGUAAUUCCGAAUAACAGGGUUUAUGGAAUUAAUUCAUGCAAAAUAAACGGGCUUUGGUGGGGGCCCCACAUAUGUGAUUUAUGAUCGAUUAACUGAUUGAUUGAUUUAAUUGUCAUGCAUGAUUGAUUUAUUCUGCUCUAUGACAUGCUCGAAAUUAUUUCUUAACUAUGCACUAACCCUCCUCUUGAUAGCGCAUAUUGGUUCGCCACCCAGGUAUGUAUUUUCCUGCAUCAUGGUCACUCCUUAUGCUUGUUUCUAAUUCUCAUAUGUGCAUGAUCGAUUUGGGUCUUCAUUGAUUUUCUCAUUGGUUGCCAUGUCAACUUCAUUUUAUUAGUAGAGACCCGACUUUAGGGACUUAGAGGAGUGCUACGGUCUUUACCGUACCUUCCCGAUAAGUAACCUGACCCCCGAACCCGAUUCGGUUUUUUGUAGAUCACCUUUUCCAAAUAAGGAGUCACACUUAGGGUUUUUCUUUCUUAUUUUGUUUACCCUUUUGAAAAUAAAACAAAAAUAAGUGGCGACUCCAAGUCAUUUUCUUAAUCAAUAAAAAUCAAUUUUUCAAAAUAAAAAUCGAGCUCGCCAUUCGAGUGGGAAACGCAUUGAGUCGAAAUGCGGGGUCCACAACACUUGAAGCGUGGUAAACCCUGAAAAGGCAAACAAAUUCCUUUAAAAGAAAAACACAAGGAAAGAUAUAUGAAAUGUGACACUCUUGAAGAAGUCGCAUAUAAAAUGAGUUAUUAAAAUGAUUGAUCAAUCUCAAGCAGCCCCUAAAGAGGCACAGUUUAAACAAGUAGCCUUAUGAUAGGUAUAUGUUUAAUAAUUAGUUCCUGAAAAUGUACAAGUACCUGAUAUUGAUGAGAUCUCAAUUAUUUACUUAUAUAUGAAAAAAAAAUGGGAUUGAAAUACUCUUGUCAUUAACAAUAUAUUUUCUUUCCAAAUAGCUGUUGACAUCAUAAGAAUUGAUGAGGAUCCCAAAGUAGAAACUAUGAAUGAAUGUCAACAUAGAAAAGAUUGGCCAAAAUGGAAAGAAUACAUCCCAAAAAAAUUAUACUCAUUAGAAAAAUGAGAAGUAUUUGAACCUGUAGUCCAAACGCCUGAAGUUGUCAAACUUAUUGAAUAUAAAUGAGUAUUUAUAAGAAAGUGUAAUGAGAAAAAUGAAAUCACGAUAUAUAAAAUGUGACUCAUAGCUCAAGGUUUUCCGCAGAAACCUAGUAUUAACUAUGAGGAAACAUAUUCUCCUAUGAUGGACGCAACCAUAUUUAGAUAUCUAAUUUGUUUAACAGUCUUAGAAUGACUAGAUUUGCGUUUCAUGAAUGUCAUUAUUGCAUAUUUACGUGAAUCUUUAGAUAAUCACACACACACACACACACACACACACACACACACACACACAUACAUAUAUAUAUAUAUAUAUAUAUAUAUAUAUAUACGAAAAUCCUUGAAGGAUUUCAAAUACUUGAAGCAACUAAUUCAAAAUAUUGUAGCAUAUACUCAAUUAAGUUACAAAGAUCCUUGUAUCAAUUAAGCAAUCUAAAAACAUGUGAUACGAUCACUUCAAUGAAUAUUUGAAGCGAGAAGUAUGUAUGUAUUACCUUAUUUAUUUAUACAUAUUCAUUAUAUUGAAUUUUUGCAAUUAUUAUAGUAUAUGUGGAACAUUGAAUUUUUUUGGAACUCCUGAAGAGCUUACAAAAAUAGUUGACUAUUUAAAAAUUAAAUUUUGAAAUGAAAGAUCCUGGAAAACAAUUUUUUUUUCCUCGACCUGCAGAUCGAGUAUUUUUCAAACGAAAUAUUAGUUUAUUAGUCAACAUAUACAAAGAAAUUCUUGAAGCACUUUCAUAUGGAUAAAUCACAUCCAUUAAGUUCUCUGAUGAUAGUUCAUUCACUUGAAGUGAAAAAUGACCCUUUUUGUCCUAAAGAAGAUAAUAAAAAACUAUUUGGUCCAAAAAUACCAUAUUACAGUGUUAUUGGUGCAUCGAUGAAUCUUGCAAAUUAUACAUGACCAGAUAUUGCAUUCCUUGUUAAUUUACUUGUGAGAUAUAGUUCUACACCAAUUCAAAGACAUUGGAAUAAAAACAAGCAUGUACUACAAUAACAUGGGUCUAUGUUAUUCCAAAUGAUCAGAAUCUUAAGUGCUUGAAUAUGUAGAUGUUGACUAUCUUUCACACCCCCACAAAGCUCGAUCUUAAAUGAGGUAUGUAUUUAUCUAUGGUGGUACGACAAUAUCAUGGAGAUCAAUCAUGCAAAUAAUGGAAACAUGUGGACUACCCUCCAUCAAAGGUAAUGCUACCAAGUUAAUAAUGCUGCAUGUAUUGCACAAAUUAAAGAAUGAUACAUUAAGGGUGAUAGAAUUAAGCACAUAUCGUCCAAGUCUUUUACUUUCAUUAACUCAAGAAUAGUGAUGAAAUUGCUAUUCGACGAAUAAAAUCAAGUGGCAAUUUAGUAUAUCUAUUCACAAAGGCAUUGUCAAUUACAAUACUCAAGAAGCUCAUUGGAAUACGCCGACUCAAAGAUCUCCAUGUUGUACUACUAGAGAAAAUAUAAUCAUGUCAACAUGAGGGGGAGCUAAUUGAUAAAAAUAUCACUACGCUACACUCUUUUUUCCUUCAUCCAAGUUUUGUCUCAUUGGGUUUUACUGGCAAGGUUUUUAAUAAGACAAUUGUGGUAAUCCAAAAAAAUAUUGUACUCUUUUUCUUUCACUAGGGUUUUUCCUAGUAAGGUUUUAAUGAGACAUAUUCUUAUGAUCAUACAAGGAGGAGUAUUAUAAAAUAUGAGAUUUUGUAUCACUAUGGUAACUUGUGGAUGAUCAUUCAUAUUAAUAUACAUCUCUUUGUAACUCCCUAUAAAAGGGAGAUACCUCUAAUGAAAAUUAAUCUGGUUCUCUUCCAACAUUUUGUUAUACUUUUCUUUGAAUAUCUUUGUUUAUUCUCUCAUAUUUUCUUUUUCUUCUUCUUUUUAUUUCACAACUGUGGACCCGCAUUUUUCACGUGCGCCCCCACUUGAUCGACGAGACUCGCUUUUUAUUGUGAAAAAUUAAUUUUAAAAAAAAGUUGGAGUCGCCACUUAUUUUAUUUUUUAUUUUUGAAGGGAAAAUAAAACAAGAAAUAAAACCCUAAAAAAAAUGACUCCAUAAUUUUUGGAAAAGCGUGUCUUUGAAAACCCAAGUCUUGGUCCGGGGAUCAGGUUACUUAUUGGGAAGGUACCUCUAGGAGGUAGCACCCCUCUAAGCCCUAAAGAGGUCUCUACUAACUAAGUUAAGGGAAGCGUGGCAAUUAAAUGGUUGACCUCGGGUACCUAAGUAGGCUAGGUGAUUCCAAAAAAAACAUAACAUAUCAAACAAAAUCAAAUCACAAUUAAGGAGAGUUAAAAAUGCGUACCUGGACAGCCUCCCAAGCGCUAUCAUAAAACAUAAGAGAUUAGUUUGGAGAUACAUCACACAACAUUGUUUUAUCAAAGAUAAUCAAACAAUCAUCAAAUGUAUAUCAAGGCAAUUAAAGAGGAUAGCAAGCAUGGGCAUACAUAUUCAUAGGGUUUAGAAAGUGGGUAUUAGGGAACGUACCUGGAUAGCAUAUUUAAUUCCUAAUGCGCUUCCACAAAACAUGAGAGGUUAGAUAACAAACAAUAAAAUAAGAAGUCCUAGCAUGCUCGUUAUCUAAUUAUCAUAGCAUAAAUUGUCAAAAUAUAUGAAAACAAUAAUUAUCACACUCAUCUUGUAUACAAUUUCUAAAAAAAAGAUAGAUAUAAUUUCAAAAAGUGACAAAAAUGGCAACAAAAAUAAUUUUUGAAAAGAUUUUCUUAUGUAGGGGUUUCACCAAUUCCCCAAAUUAAUAUACACAAAUUUAGCCCAGAAUUAUCCCAUUAUUUGGGACCACAAGCUUUGAUUCGUGUUUUUGUUCAAAACCAAACUUUUUGUUAGAAACUGAGAAGGAUGCAAACCGAACAAAAAAAUGGUUGCAUAUUAUUUUAAGAAAAUGAGAUUUUUUUUAUUCCAAGGACUCUAAAUGAAUUUUUUUUUUAAAAUAGGUUUUUAAAGGGAUCUUUUAAGGAAAGUGUUGGAUUUCAAAAUAAAAAGAAAUUAAUUUGAAAAUGACAAGACAUAAGGAACAAAAUACCAAGCAAAACAAAAGUGAUUAAAAUCGCAAAGUAGAGUUUUUGACAACUGAGAAAAUUGAAGUGGUGAGAAUGGAGGUCAAUCUUCCCUAUUUUCCGAUGGCCUCCGAAAAGUAAAUUUUACUAGAGAUUACCAAAGCAAUAAACUACUCAAACUCAGGUCAAAUAAGCUAACGAGAUACCCACCAAGAAUUAAUGACGAAUAUUUAAGAAACACAUCCAUUAAGAAUAAAAAUCAAGAAUUAGCAUGAGAUCAAUUAACCACACAAACACAUCUAGAUUUAUUAAAAUGAGACAAAUUAAAUCAAAGCAAACAAUAAUUUUCAAACAUAGAAUUAACUUUAUUAAUGAAGUAAUUUUAUAUAAAAUACUUAAAUCGAAUAGAUGAGUGAAACUAAAUCAGGGUAAACUAAAGGCAUGAAUUUUCAAAUAUAGAAUUGAUUUUAUUAAUGACCUAAAAUUUUACAAACUCCUAAAAUACUUAAAAUGAAUCAAUUUAAACAAAAGGAAACUAAAACAAAAUAUGGAUUUAGGGAAUCUAAUUUCAAAAUAAACUUACAUUAUUAAAAUGAAACCUAGGCUUAAAAUGAAUUAAACACUAAUUAAAGUCAAUCUAAACUUAAAUUCUUAACAUACAUGAUCAAUUAUUUUAACAAAUUAAAAUUUUACAAGAGCACCUAAACCUAAAGUUAUAUAAAAACACUAACAAGAACAGAUUUUUAAAAUUAAAUCUCUAACCUAUAAAAAUUAGUUUUAUUAAUAAAUAAAUGAAAUAGGUAAUGCAUGACUAAAUAAGUAUAGCUAAAACAAAAUACGGACUCAUGGAAUUAAUUUUUUUUUUUUUUUUGUGUAUAAACUUACAUUACUGGAAUAAAAUUUGAGCUUAACAAAUGUUUUUAACACUAAUUAAGGUAAGUUUAAAAUCUAAUAUUUAACAUAUAAAAAUCAAUCAUUUCAACAAACUAAAAUUUUACUUAAACCUAAAACCAAUUCAACCGACCUACAACAAUUUUUUUUUUUUUAAACUGAAUUUUUAGCCCAUAGGAUCAAUCUUAUUAAUAAAUAAAUAAAUUACAAAGAAUUAAAUUAAUAGCAAAUAAAUAAAUAAAUAAUCAAUAAUUAAAUGAAUCAAAACUAAAUUAAAUAAAGAUCAACUAUAUAUUUUUUUUCAAGUAAAGCUACAUAAAAUUGUAUUUUAUGAAUUGAAUAUAAUACAUCAAAACUAACCUUAAACAACACUAAUCUUUAAUGUAAUAAAUCAAAAAAUUAAACAAAAAGUGAGAUUGUGCUCCCAUAUUAAAACGAAUACAUGCUGGAGCCAAUAAAACAAAUCAACCCACUCAACCCAAUAUAAUAAUCCAACUUUAAAUAGUACAUCACAAGACAUCAAAGUUCCACCCAAUGUAAUAAAUAAAUAAAAAAUUAAACCAAAAGUGAGAUUUUGCUGCCAUAUGAAUACAUGUUGGAGCCAAUAAAACAAAUCAACCCACUCAACCCAAUAUAAUAAUCCAACUUUAAAAAGUACAUCACAAGACAUCAAAGUUCCACUAAAAACUCAUAAAAAAAUAACUAACUUACCUAGUUGGCUUACCAAAAAAAACCUGGUGGCAUGUAGUUGCUUUCUCUUCCCUAAUGAUGCUCGGGAACAAUGGUAUUGGUUGAUGGGAACUGAUGAGUUUUGGUUCUUCAGCCAAUACUCUUAUUUCAAAUCAACAAAGCUCGUCUCAAGGAACGGUAAGUAUAAAUUUAAGAACCCCGCAACUGGUUUUCAAUUAUUUUGAUAGCCAAUAAAAAAUGGAUAAUGUGUUCCAGAAGUUGGACGAACAUGAGGACGUAUGGCAGGAGAAUGGAGAAAAGCAAAUGUGCGGCCUGGUUGUGUAGUUGACGAUGAUGGGAAUUGGAGGAUUCUCUGUUUUUAAGGAUAUGUGGAUGGAUGGACUGCUGUCCAGAUGGUUCUCGAUUUUCAACCAAAGGAAGAUUCAGAAGACUCAUGCGACAGGAAAAUUCAGAUGACGCAAACACCAACUUCGGCCUGGCUACGUCAACUUCAGCAGCGGGGUUGACCAAAACGAUCUGGGUGUUCAGGAUCUAACCAUUGGUGAGUUCAAAUGUUGUCUCCCUUCUUUCCCUUCCAAAUCUUCCCGUUCCCUCUCCUCUAUACCUUCCCAAUCGCGGGGUGAAUAGCCGAUGAAUCACCAAACAGUUGCGUAUGUGGGUUUCCCCAAAACAACUUAUCUCUGCUCUAAAAAAAAAAACCUCCCUCUCUCGUGUGUCUUCCUUCCUUUUCUUUUCUUUUCCUUCUUCUUCCUCUUUUCUCAAUCUCUCCGACUCCUCUCUAGCCACCAGUGAUCGAAGGCACCGUAGCCAAGGUUUUCCUCUUUUCUGAUCAUUUUUUUUUCUCUUCUUGAAUGCAAAAAAAUAUUUUCUUUCUUUCCUGGUGCAGCUGCCACUUCCCUCUAGAGAAUCAUUUCCUUCUCAAUGGUCCCGUUGACUCUACCAAUAUGGAAAAAAUCCCUCACCGGUCUAGAGAAAACCCGUAAUCUUCCGCAUCAGUCCAACAUGAUUAGAACCCUACAUUUUGAACCUAGCCUUCAUUUCCAUCCCUAUACACACCGAACAUCUUCUUUUCACCUGCCAAAAUCAGCUUUGGUAAGUUUCUAAACCUUCCCAUCUCUCUCUUUCUUCCCUUUUUCAUAUCUGUCUUGGGUUGAAUGCUCUUUCAAAUCACGGUCGAAUCUCCCUUCCAUAGAACCCUGCAAUAAAAAUAGUAAAAACAAAAUCAUCCAAUUAAAUAGUAAUAAUAAUAAUAAUAAUAAUAAUAAUAAUAAUAAAUAAAUAAAUAAAUAAAUAAUAAUAAUAAUAAAGAUGAUUAAUCAUAUACAUGUACAAGAUAACCAAAAUAUUAUUUCAUGAUAAAGAAACAUAACGUUAGUAUCUUAUAAUCUCCUAAAAAUAAAUAAAUACAAGAACAAAUAAACUAAAACCCACUUAAAACAAAAAUCAAACAAAUAGAAUUCCAGAAGACAAACCUUAGUGUACUAAGCUUAAAGAACUACCCAAGGGAUUCUAAGUGGGCCUAAAGUGGUGCUUAAUGGACCUAGCCUUCCUAAGUGGGCCUAAGUGGGCUUAGAGUGGGCCUAAGUGUAUCUAAGUGAACCUAGGAUGCCUAAGUGAGCUUAAAGUGGUGCCUAAUGGGUUAGGCAUGUCUAAUGGGCCUAAGGUGUACUAAGUGAACCUAAGGUGCCUAAAUGGGCCUAAGGUGACUAAGUGGGCCUGAAGUGUCUAAAUGGGCCUAAAGUAAUCUAAUGGGCCAAGUGUACCUAAAUGGGCCUAGGGUUACCUAAUGGGCCAAGUGUGGUGCCUAAGUGGGCCUAAAGUGCCUAAGUCUAAAUUAGAGCUGCCAAAGGUCACAAUAAGAUGUCAAAUCAUCCCCCAACCAAAGUCUCCAAGGUGGCUUAGAAAAGAUAGGCUACACGAAUAUUAACGGGCCACCAGGGAAUUGUUAUAAACGACAUGUGCGAGGAAGACAAAAUUGAGGGUCUACAACAACAUAUAUAUAUAUAUAUAUAUAUAUAUAUAUAUAUCAAACUAUAAUUAUAUAAUUUUUUUUAAAUGUAUAAAUCCAUUUUAUUUUUUUAUUAGCUUAAAAUUUUUAUUUUUAAAUAUAGAAAUGUAUUUUUGUUAAAAAAUUAUAUUUCAUAUUUUUGUUCCAUUAUUACUUUUAUUCUUUCUUUUUUGUUUGAUUUUUGCAUGUUAUGUUGUCCAUUUUUCGUUUUUAUUUUUUUCAUUUUUUUAUUUGGAAAAAAAUAAAUAAAAUAUAAUUAAUAGUGACAAAUGAAAAGAGAAAAAAGAAGAAAUGUUGAAAAAUAAAAAUAAAAUUGGUCAUUUUCGUGCAUUUUAUUUUAUUUGUGUGUUUCGAUUAUUCUCCUUUUUAAACAAUUGCAUAAAAGAAAAAAAAAUGAAAAUGAUUGUAGGUGAUUUUCAAAAUAGAGGUGAUUUUCUUGAGGAAAGAAUUCGAAAGUUGAUGUAUAAUGUUGAAGAAGAGCCUUCGUUGUAGGUGGGACGAGAGAGGAAACAACUUUGAAUUUUGAAACUUUACCAUCUAAAAUCAAAACAAAAUCAAUUGCAAUUUACGCAAUUUUGUAGGAAAUUAUUAUUAUUAUUAUAAUGGUAUAACAAGUUUAAUAUAAAAAAAAUAAAAAAUUUGUAGUAUAAAAAUAUUAUAAUAAAAUAAAUAAAUUUAUUUUCAAAAAUAUGAAAAUUAAUAUAAAAAUAUUAGGGAAAAAUUAUGUGUACACAUAAAAAAAUAAAAUAUAAAAUUGAUGGAUUAAAUUAUUAUUGAAAUUAUAAUCCGACUUAAAGUCAAAUUAGAAGAAUUUUAUGAAAUGUCAUAUCAAAACUAAAAUACUAAAAAAUGUGUAGAAUCAAAAGAAAAUUAUACUUUUGUUUGUGAAAUUAUGACUAUAAAGAAUAACUCAAUUCAUUUUCAACUCCAGUAAAAAUUUUGAUAAGUUGUGUAUAUGCAUGUCUUGUUUAAAUCUCAAUAUCUAUAAAAUCUAGUGAAUAAUAGUGUGGACCCCGUAUUUCGCACGAUGUGUUUCCACUCGAUGGCGUGACUCACUUUUUGUUUAUUUGUGAAAAAUUAUGAUUUUUAGAAAAGACUUGGAGUCACCACUUAUUUUUGUUUUAGUUUUUUAAGGGAAAACAAAGUAAGAAAAAAAAACCCUAAGUGUGACUUCUCAUUUGGAAAAAAUGGUCUAUGAAAAACCAAAUCUAGGUUCGAGGGGUUAUGUUACUUAUUGGGAAGGUAGGGUAAAGACCGUAGCACCCCUUUAAGUCCCUAAAAAUGAGUCUCUACUAAAUAAGGUGAGUCAAACAUGACAAUUAACUAGGAGAUCAAUGAAUACCAAAAUGAUUAUAGGUCAAAAGCAAGUUAUGAUAAUGAAUAAAUAAAAAAAGUGAGAGUGAGAGCGUACCUUGGCAGUAGGUAAUAAAGCGCUAUCAUGGAAACAAGGUUAGCUCAAGUAUAAAAUUAUUACGCGCAUAUCAAAAAUCAAGACAAAAAUCAAGCAAUAUUCGUUAAGCAUAACAUUUGACAAUCAGAAGAGAAAACUCAUAUGUGGGGUCCUCACCAAAGCCCAAUUUAUCUUGCACGAAUUAGUAUCACAAAUUCCAUUAUUUUGGAAUUAUAAAAAAUUCAUUCUUGCUUAUUUAAAAUAAAGAUAAACAAAAAAUUAUUUGAAAAUCGAAGAAAAUUUGUACAAGUGCAUACCAAAAUGAGAAUGGUAGCAGACUCAUUAAAAUCAGGAUUUUUGGCAACCUAAAACCCUAAUAAAUGAUUAAAAGUUGUAGAUAAAAAAUAUUUGAAAAUUGGAGUGGGAUUAAAACUGUUUGAGAGAAAACUAGAGUUUUGAAAUUUAUUUGAAAAUUGAAGUCUCGAAAAUUAUUUGAGAAUUGGAGUUUUGAAAAUUAAAUUUAAGAAUUGGAAUUUUAGAAAUUAAAUUUGAAAGAAAUUGGAAUUUUGAAAAUUAUUUGAGACUUGGAGUUUUGAAAAUUAAAUUUAAGAAUUGGAAUUUUGGAAAUUAAAUUUUGAAAUAAAUUGGAAUUUUGAAAAUUAUUUGAGAAUUGGAGUUUUGAAAAUUAAAUUUAGGAAUUGGAGUUUUGAAAAUUAAUUGAGAAUUGGAGUUUUGAAAAUUAGUUUUAAGAAUUGGAAUUUUGGGAAUUAAAUUUGAAAGAAAUUGGAAUUUUGAAAAUUAAAUUUAAGAAUUUGAAUUAAAUUUGAAAGAAAUUGAAAUUUUGAAAAUUAUUUGAGAAUUGAAGUUUUUAAAAUUAAAUUUAGGAAUUGGAGUUUUGGAAAUUAAAUUUAAAAGAAAUUGGAAUUUUGAAAAUUGAUUGAGAAUUGGAGUUUUGAAAAUUAGUUUUAAGAAUUGGAAUUUUGAAAAUUAAAUUUGAAAGAAAUUAAAAUUUUGAAAAUGGAAGUUUUAAAAAUUAAAUUUGAGAAUUGGAAUUUCAAAAAAUUAUUUGAAAAUAGAAAUUUGAAAAUUACAUUUAAUAAUUGGAAUUUUGAAAAAUUAUUUGAAAACAAAAGUUUUGAAAAUCGGAAUUUCGAAAAAUUAUUUGAGAAUGGAAUUCUUAAAAGAUCAAAUUUUUAACAUAAAAUGAUGGAUUAGGAGGGUGACACGUCAAACAUUGGAUAGCAGCCCUCUAGAGUGGAAUCCCAAGGUUCUCCUAAAAAAAUACCUCAAUGUCUAAAUGGCUAUAAGCAUCUGUCCAAAAAAAAAAAAAAAACAAUAGUAGAUUUUCCAUUUGUUCCGGUCACUACUAAUAUCUUAAUACUUCUUGGAAGAAUUUCCGUAGCAAAAUCCAACUUAGACAAUAUUCUUUUCACUGAUUGCAACAAGAAGGAAAGUCCAUGACUUUCCAAGGGAACUCCUAGUGAAACAACUACCAUUUCGGCAUCCUUGAGAAGCUUUGUGUCAAAGUGUCCAAGAACGGUUUUCAAAUGACCAUGCUUUUCAAACAGGAGAUCGAGCUCAAGCGAGAGCAAGCUUUGUUGCAGCUCUACCAGAUUUUCCCAACAAGAAAACAGGAAACUCUCAACCAAACCCAAAUUCACGAAAGAGAAUCAAACCAUAUGGGAAACAUCUGGAUCGGCGCGGUAGCUACAGUUUUGUAACAAAUCUCACUUGGGGUCUAGAGAUUCAUGUUACCUCAAGCUUUUUCUUGUCAGCCUCAUCAUCCCAUGGUUUCACAUCCCAGUGUACAGUCCCAUACCCAAGAAUGCAUAAACACCAGGAACAGGGAGAAAACAACAAAAACAUAGCACAAAUGAAGAAAAUAAUAUGAACCAUCAAAAGCCACACUUCAUGUCUUAGUCAGUGGAUGAAAAGGAUUUCUAAAUAUCACAAAAGAGAUAAAAAUUAGUUGGACCAAUUUUUGAACACAAAUUGGAGCAACAAAGAAGCCGUUAACUAUGAAAAAAAAAAUUCAUGAAUCACCCAAAGAUCAACAACAACAUAUCUCAAUAAUAGUGGAUGAAAGAAAAAAUUUUCACAAUGGAGAACUUACUUCAGGGAAGACGUUGGAGGUCUUUCUUCUAUAGAGCCCAAUAACCCGUGAGCUUCUUCUCUACUUCUCUCAACUCACCAUUUCACUCAUAGAAAAACGAUUCAUUAUGACCCCCCUCAAAUCUCAGCUUAUCUUUUUUCUUUUUGUUCCUUUUAAAAUCCCUCAGCUGCCACAAAAACCCAGCACCCACUUUCCAGAUUUUUCUCCCAGAAAAUCCUCUUCAGCUGCUGCCCCUUUUUCUCUCUCCUCUCAUCAUAGUUUUCUUCAUUUUUUCCUCCGAUCCCCUUAUCUUUUUAGUUUUCUACCCCCCCUCCCCAGUUCACCCUCCAAACCUGCAGCUACCCCUCAGACUACUCCCAUAUUUUUUUCUUUCAAGCUCUCAAAACCCUCACAACGCACCCGACUCUCCUUCAAUCCCCUUGCUCAGUUUUUCAUUUUUUUCAAGCUGUCACCUCCUUCGGUCCAGCUCUCCCUCUCCAAGCUUCAAUUUUUCUCCCAAAAAAAACCCGUUCUCUCCUAAUUUCAUCCUCUGCUCAAGACAGCUCACCCAUGUUCUAUUUUUCUUUCACUUCUAGUCUCAUCCUCCAUCUGUUCCAUUGUUCUUGGUUCAGUGAAGACGUCACCACUCUCAACCACCACCAUGGCGAGUUGGUGACAUCCUUUUCCAUGCGUCUCAAUCAUGCAGCUUGUCCACCUCAUGGAGAGGUCAUCCCCCACUUUUCCAAAAAAAAAAAUCUAGCUCACUCCCGAGUACCCAAUGAGGGGUCUACAAAUAGUUACAUCAAAAUGAUCAAUUCAAAAGAAUUUAAGUCUGUAUUAAAAGAGCAAAAAGAUUUAUCGUUGAAAGAAAUAUUUGAAAACACUCUGUUGCCAGUUCGAAUUACUAGCUCCAUAGGAUUGCAACCCACCAACUAUGUUAUCUGAGAUGCUUGCCAAUCUACAUGAUCACUUCCCAUUGGCAUCUUUCAUAAGGCCAUCAAGAGUGGAUAUUUUGUAAUAUACACGUGGAUACAUUUUGGGAUGUAGUUUGAUAUUUUAUAUUAUUUUGUAUUUUUGGUGUAUUGACAUUUUCAUAUUAAUGUUGGGAGGUUGGAUUAACACUUAAAAUUUUUAAAUACAUUUUUACCUAUGUUAUUCAUCAUGGAUGAAAUAAGUAUUUUUGAAAUUUUAAUUUUUAAGAUUUUACUUUAUUCCACUAAUUUAUUUUUAUCAUUUUAAUCAAUUCUAUCUUCAUAAAAAAAAAUUAUAAAUAAGCUUUAUAAGAAUUCAUUUUUAUUAUCAAAUAAUUAUUUUGUUUUCUUAACAAAAUAAAUAUUUUAUAAUUUUGAAAUAAAAUAAUAAAUACUAUGUAACAUUAUCAAACGAGUUUUUUUUUAAAUUUUUAAAAAAUAAUUAUUGAUUUUAUCAAAUAAAUAAAAUAGUAUUUUAAUCUAUGGACCCCUUACUAUUUUUCUUUCCUUUUCAUGUAUCACAUGUUUAAUUAUUUUUUAUUAAAAAUUAGUUUUUGAUAGGCAUUGCUACUAUAAUACCACUUUCUUUUCAUUAAGGAGAGGCACAAGAACCCAUUACGAUUAGACAAUGGGUCAAAUCAUGAAGUCACAUCUCACUAGUAGAUUAAAAAAAAAAACUUUUAUAACUUUGUUGUUAUCUUUUCAUUUUAAGGGUAAAAUAGGAAAAAACAAUUACGAUGCACUCUAAAAUUGCUUUUAAAUUUAUUCCAAAAUUACCCUAAAAAAUUUGCCAUGAAUGUGAGAAAAGUGGUGAUGUGAUAGAAGGAAAAAGUGAUGAAAUGAAGAGGCAUGAGGUGUUGAUUGGAGGGUGGCACUGUGGAUGACGGUCCUAUGGUGCCACACCGAGGUGAAAGUGUGGGCUAGUAGUGAUAGUGGAGAGAAAUGGAUGCAAAAAAUGGGUAUGGUGGGCAGAUGAAGAGAAAGAGAAAGAGAAAGAAAGUGUUGUGAUUUGCAACGGUUGGUGGUAUUGGAGAAAGGCAACAUUUGGUGUUACAGAAGAGAGACAACAUUGUGUCACAGGAUGCACAAAUGACCCUCCCCAUGGGCUUAUUUUGGAGGUGGGAAGCUUAUGGAAACUCCUGAAGCCAUCUACACUAAGCCAUUGGUGGGAAGAGUGUGGAAGCUUCUAAAAAAGCCUAGGGAUGUUCGCACAUCUUUACAUUAUGGUGGAAGGCAUGAGAAAAUUCCAAGACUUUCUAGAGAGUUCUAGAGGUCUCUUGUAUAUUCUUGUACGUAAGCUUGUACAUAGAAUUAUAUAGGGUGUUCUAGAAUAUUCAUGAGUUGUAAGGAACCCUCCAAGGUUCUAGAGAGUCCAUUGGUGUUUAUAAAUGAGGGUCUUAUUUGGUCAGGGCACCAAGCAAGUGAGUUUCCAAGCAUUGUAUAAACUUUCUUUGAAAUCAGUAAAACUUCCGUUCUUUAAGUGUUGCCUACUACGCCCUCUAAAGCUUUUAAGUUGGGUGCAUCUUUGCAAAGCAAACUAAGUAUCAGGACUAAUGUUGACUUAGCAAGAUCAAGGGUCUUGACUUGUCUAAGUGUCGCACAAGCUUAGGAAAAGACUAAGUUUGUGACAGUUGGCACUAGGUUGUGGAUAAGUGGUGGUGGUGAUGUGGAGAAAGUGAAGGAAACAUAGAAGAAGAAAGAAAAAGAAAUAUGGGAAAGGAAAAGGGAGAGAAAAAAAUACUACUAGGUAAGGGAAACUAUGAGCGGUGGCCAACGACGACACUAAUAGAUAAUGUUAUCAAUGGUGCCGAUAGAUUCGGUGGAAGCGGUAGAUUCAGUGGGAAGUGAGAGGCGACAGUGAAUUGAACUUUGGUGGCAAAUCAUACACGACUACCCUCCUCCCAUCGCAAUCACCAUCAUUCUCAUUUUUCGCUUAGGAUCAAUGUGCCCUCUCUAAGCAACAUUGACAACCCCCCUCCCUCCCCUAUCUUUUUCAUUUCUAAUGUUGUUUUCUACAAUUGGAACUAGGUUUUCAAAAACAUCGACUAUCUCUGGAGGAGUAGUACUAGUACUGUGAAUGAUUGAAAUUGUGAUUUCAAAAUUAGGUUGGGUUCCAACAUAGAGGUAAUAGAGGUUGUUAAGCCUUCAGGAAGACGUGCACAAGUGAACAAUGUUCCUAGAGAUUAUAGUGGUGGAAGAAUACCAUAAAAAGAUAAGAAAAGAAAAGGGAAAAGGACUCUUUCUCAUGCCACCUACCCAUUCUCAGUGUUGACACAUUUUUCUAGCUGGCACCAUUCCCUCCAAUCGUCACCUACCCAUCAUCACCACCAUCCCUUACUUUCAUGGUAAUUUUUUUAAGAUAAUCUUGGAACAAAUUCAAAAACAUUGUUAGAGCGCAUGAAUUAAGAAUUUUUUUUUUCUCAACUUUAUACUUAAAAUGAAAAGAUAAAAGCAAAAUUCCAAAAACCUUAUAGCUUGUUUAACCAUAUAACUUAAAAACGGUUAUCUAAUUUUAAAAAUAGAAAACUGUUUUUUAACACUUUCAAUUGUGGUUGGUCAUUAUUCUAAAAAAAAAUAAUAAUAAUUUAAAACUAGAUUGAAAAAAAAAUCAGGAAACAAUCUCAUUGAUUUAAAUUAUUAUUUAAUUACUUGCACAAUCGUAUGAUUAUUAUUAUGUUUUUGUUAUAUUAUAUUAACAAGUGAAUACUAUGUUGUUGAUUCUAGAUAUCCUUGUAUUAUGGGUUUUCUUCCUCCAUAUUGAGGUGAAAGGUAUUAUUUGUAAUAUUAUCUUAGCAAAAGUUGUCAACCAAAGACUGAUAAAGAAUUGUUCAAUUAUUGACCUUCCUCAUUUAUAAAUAUAAUUGAGUAUUAUUUGUGUUUUAAAAGCACGUUUUUCAAUUUUAAAAAUGAUGUCAUCUUACAAACCAAGUAGACAACUAUAAAUAGUUGUAGCUUGUUGUACUCUUUAUAAUUUCAUUCGUAAAUAGACUUAAAAUGAUGUUAUAUUUAGACAAUGGGAAGAAGAACUUGAAUUUGAAGAUAAGGACGAUACUACAAUUGAAGUAAGUUAUGCAAUGAAUUUAUUAGAUGAAGCAGCAACGAUUAUGACAACUUAUCAAGAUCGUAUUUCAUAGUAGAAAUGGAAUGCUUAUGUUAAUAGUUUGUAAACAUUAGUCAUUAAAUAGUUAUAUUAAUAUACGAAGCAAGAAUGUGAAAUAUGAAAAUUGUUUAACUAUUAUAAUUGACUUGAAGUGUUUGUGUGUACUUGGUUUGCAAUUAUUUUUGUUAGGUGCUUUCAAUUUAAAUUUUUUUUUUGUUUUUCCCAUUAAAAAAAUCAAUCCAACUAUUUAUUUUACUCUCUUUAAAAAAAUGAAUAUUAAAAUUAUUUUUAAUCUUAUAGUAAUUUUUGUUUCAUUUGAAUAAAAAAAUUGUUUAAUAAUUAAAACAAUUAUUUAUCUAUAAUUUAUAUAAUUUGAAUUUUAUUUAUUUAUUUUUAGUGAGAUUUAACUUGAAUGUGAUUUAUAUUAAUGUAAAUUAAAUUUUAAAAAUAAAAAUACAAAAAUUGUUUUUAAAAACAAAGACGAUUCUUUUAUACAAACAAGUUUUUGUUUUUUAAAAACUAUUUUUGAAAGUAAUUGGCCAAACAAUUUUUCUUUGUAAAAAAUACAAAAAAAACCAUUUUUUAUUCUUUAUCUUAAAAAUAAUUUUUAAAAUUAAAAAACACGAUCAAACACCUUAUUUUGUUUUUAUUUUUGGUGUAUGAUUGCAUAAUUUUUUCAUUUUUUAAAAUUGAAUUUCAAGCAAGCUCAUAAUUAUAUAAUUAAAAAACUUGUUUGAUAGUAAUUUUAAGAAGCAAUUCUAAUAUUUUUAACACUUAAAAAAUGAAAAAAGAAUUAUUUUUCAAGUAUACAACGAAGAAAUACUUGUUAGGAUCACUGCUACACAUUCUCUAUGUAGACAUAUCCCACUUCUAACUCUUCAACUUCUGAACUCUUUUGAUGAAAUCCACACUCAAACCACUCACAAGCUCCAAAUUCAAGUCCCAAAUGCAGCCACUGCUUCAACCAGGUUUUGGAGUCAAAAUAAGAGACGUAGUGAUGAAUUCCAGAUAGUCCAUAUCUUAAAGUGAGAAAAUAUCCAAAAAAGAAUUUGUUGUGUUGAGAGGGAUUGCUUGAGAAAUUCAGGAUUAGGGAAUUAUUUUAUCUCAGUGUGGUUUAGAAUUCCAGUUUGGCAAAUUCAGGAUUCAGGACUGGCUUUGGGUUCAAAAUGAUUUGGGGUUUCUACUCAGAAACAUCCAAAAAUUGAACUAUUUGACAAAUUUGGGGUGUGGGAGCUGUUCCUUUGUUUGUGGGAUAUUUGUGCAUGAUUAUGGAACUGCUGAACUGUGUUACAUAAAUUCAAAUUUUAUUUGCUUGAUGGGGAAUUGGUCUGGGAAAAGAUAGCUGAAGAAUAAAGGGAUUGAUGUCAUGGGAUAAGGUUUUGUUGGGUGGACUUGUUUUCCAUGUUUUUUCUCCUCUAAAGGUUAGGGGUGAAAAAUUGUAUUAAAUUCAUUUUUUUGUGCAGAUUUUAUGAUUUUAAUGUUGUUGUUUUCCCUUUUGAAUAAGGAAUAUAAAAACAUUUAUGGAAUUUGAUUUCUUCCAAAAUUAGAUGAGUUAUGAAACCAAAAUAGUGGUUGCAUGUGGUUGAAUCUCGGUUUUUAUUUUAUAAUUUGUCAUCCAAAUCAAGCAAUUCUUAUAUUUUUAGUUUUGAAAAUGAAUUCCAAAAGCAUGGGCUAAUUUAUACCUUAUGUAUAUGAGUUUCACUUUGUAUAUACUUUUUGUUUUUAAAAACAAAAAGUAGGAAGUGUAUCCAAACACUUAUUUUUACUUAAGUUAUAAAGUAAGGAGGUGGAUUUAUUUUAUAAGUUGCUUUUGGUGUCAAAGAAAUUAUUCUUAACAUAAUUAUUAAAAAAAAAAAGAUAUCAAUUAUAUUUGAUUGGUAUUAUCAAUUAUGCUUUGCGGGACCAAGCAUGCCCCAUCUUCUUUGGGCCUCCCACUACUUUAAUCCUACACAGAUGACACAUUUUUAUUAAGAUCCAGAUCCUAUUAUCAUGGACUGGGCAAUGGAGGCUCAGAUCCGGCCGUAAUCAGACGAGCUGUUGGGACGCCAUGGCUGCAACUACCGGGUUGCCCCGCCAAGAAACGAGCCCUUCAUAAUCUCUGAUUUACUUGGAAAGUAUCAUCAUAGCCCCUCGAUUUUCUCAUUGGGAACCAAACAGAUCCAGGACCCUUUGAAGGACCCUAAAUACAUCCAACCAAACAAUAAUAAAUAAAUAAAUAAAUAAAGAUGGACAUCACGGGUCCAGGGAGGGCUCAGAUCCGCCCGUAAUCAGACAAGAUCCAUGUUCGCCAUGGCUGCAACUACAGUUGCAUGUGAAAAAACAGGGCAUAGAAACCCAUUUCACAGACAAUCCGGGUCGCCCAGCCAAGAGAUGGAUCCUUUCAAAUGUCUGAUUUACUUGGAAAGUGUCAUCACAGCCACUUAAUUUUCCUGCACAUUUUCUCAGCAACCAAACAGAUACAAGAUCCUUCUCAGAAAACACAUUUUAAAACACAAACAAAAAAACCAAAACAAAACAAAGAUCAGCCUCAGCGCGGAAGUGAAUAGCGCGUAAAAGGAAGGCUCAGAUUCGCCUUUUAUCAGACAAGAAAAAGAUGACCGUCAUGGCUGCAACCACAGUUGCUUGUGAAACAAGGCACAAAAGGUCCCAUCGCACAAACCAUCCGGGUUGCCCCGCCAAGAAACGGACAUUCCCAGUUCCUGACUUACUCUGAAAACGUCAUCACAGCCUUUUAUGUUGCCCAUAUGAACAGAGAGAUACCCCUAAAACAGAUCCAGAAAACACAGGGAGCCAAAAAAAAAAAGCAAUUUUUUUGGUUUUCCUUGGGGGUUUUGCGUGGAUUUUCUCGGAAAUCAAACGAGGAUGAAUUUUCCCGGAAAUCGAAUGGGGGAUGGAUUUUCUUGGGAAUCAAACGGGGGUUGCAAAAAAAUAAUAAUAAUAAUAACAUGAUUAGAUUAGUACCUGCGAGGAUUGAGAGUGGGAGAGGAAAAUAGGGCCUUUUUAGGGAUUCUCUCGUCUGGAGGGCAACUUCAGAAAAGGGCUUCUAGUUCUUGAUGCCCGAGUGGGAGAAGCGGAUGAUGGCCCUUUCGAUUUUUAUAUUUAGUGGAGAGAGAAAACAAGGGAAACAAAUCAUGAAAACAAUUUUCCUCUCUAUAUAAAUAAUUAUUAAUCAUCCAUCUUUAUUUUGAUUAAAUUACUACCAAAAUUUCGAUUUUUAUCAGUAAUAUUUUAUAAAUUAAAAUUCAUUUGAUAAAAUAAAUUAUUAAUAAAUUUAUUUAUUUAAAUAAAUUAAUAUUAAUAAAAAAAAGUUAUUACCAUGUAUUUUUAAUAAAAUCUUAAAAAUUAAAUAUCAAAUAAAAUAUUUUAUAUAAAUUAAUUUAAUUUUUCAUUUAAAAUAUAAUAAAACAUGUUUCAAUAAAAAUAUUUAAAAUUUUUUUAAAUAAAUAUUAUCUUCAAUAAGAUAAGUUUCUUUCAUUUAACAAUAUGAUGGACCCACAUCGAUCUUCAUUUUGAUACUAAAAACUAUUGCAAUCUCAUAUAUAUUAUACUUAUGUAUAAAUUGUUUUUAUUCAAUAAAAUCAAAUAUUUUUUAACUCAAUUCUAACUUUAUACACUUUCAAAAUUCAUAUUUAUUAUUCUUAAAAUUUAAAUAUCCAAUUUAUCAAUAUGUCUCUAUCUACCGAUGUUUUUCUUCUUGAUCAUAUUUAAGUCAAUUACACUUAUAAAACAACUUAAAAAUGUGUAUUCUUGUUUAUUUUAUCAUUUUUUGAAGUUUUUCCAAAUAUCCCUAUGACUUCUACAUAAUUUUCGUUCCACCGGCAUUUUCAUACUUACCCUGUAUCUAUAAAAAAUAAAUGAAAACAAUUUUAGGUUAGGAGUUAUAAGGACAACUAGUAUUCAUGCAGAAAAUCAGCAUCAGAAUUCGUAACUGCAUUUGAUCAGCUAGUUUAGGAAAUCUGUACAGCUCAUUCUUUCCUUUAUUUUCACAUAUGUUGUUAUACGUUAGCACAAGUUUAGGAGUAAUUUUAGUUUCUCAAAUCUGUAUUUAUACCUCUUCUUCUAAUAAGAAUUGUGUGAAUCAUUUUGUCUAAACCUCUAUAUGGUAUCAGAGCCCACCUCAAAACUCCAACGAGUAUUUCCUGUCUUUCUCACUUCUGCUAUGGCCACUUCUUCCUUUGAUAGUUUUCCAAUAGCCAUCAAUGCCACCCAGCAAAUUAUUGCACGUCUCACACCAACCAACUUCCCUUCAUGGCAUGCCCAAUUUGAGUCUCUCCUCCUCGGCUAUAACCUCUUUGGCUAUGUCGAUGGCACUCAUACCUGCCCACCCCUACCGACGUCAACUGAUGCAGCUGCCACUACCGCUCAUCACCUUUGGUUCCGUCAGGACAAACUUAUUCUAAGUGCAAUUCUGACUUCAGUGUCCCCAGCUGUGAUACCACUCAUAGCAACCUCCCAGACGUCAUAUCAAGCCUGGACUAAAUUGACAAAACUGUAUGCUAGUCGAUCCAGGACUCGUGUCAUGCAGCUCAAAGAGGAUCUCACCCUCAUGCAACGUGGCAAUCGCAACAUUACAGAGUACCUACACUCUGUAAAAACCAUUGCCGAUGAGCUUGCUCUCAUCGAUGCCCCAUUAUCUCAAGAUGACAUCACCCUAUAUGUUCUUCAUGGCUUAGGAUCAGAUUUUCGUGACAUUGUUGCCCCGAUUCGAGCCUGAGAGUCUUCACUCUCAUUUGAAGAAUUACAUGAUCUGCUACUUGGUCAUGAGGCAUAUCUUCGAAGGCUUGACUCCACUGCUCAAUCCUUGGUAGUUACUGCCAAUACCACUCAACGCAGGGACUCACGCUCCUCAAAGAAUCAGUCUUUAUCAACUUAUCAACAAUCCAAGAAUGACUCCAGAUCAAAGUCUCGACAGUCGAAACAAUACAAAUACCCUCCAAGGUGUCAAUAUUGUGAUCAACAAGGCCACAUUGCAAAAUACUGUCCGAAAUUGAAACCCUCUGAAGCCACUGUGAACUGCACAACUACUACUUCUAGUCUAGACAAACGUUGGCUCAUUGAUUCUGCGGCUUCCCAUAAUAUCACUUCUCAGGUUUCAAAUUUACAAUUUCACUCUGAAUAUGAUGGUACUGAUGAAGUUAUUAUUGGAGAUGGAUCAGGUUUGCCCAUUACUCAUUCCGGUUCUCUUACUCUUUCAUUUCCAAACAGAAAAUUUCAAGUUGAAGAUACUCUAUGUGUUCCUACCAUUAACAAAAACUUGAUAUUUGUUCACCACUUCACAAAGCAAAACAAUGUUAUCCUGGAAUUUCACCCAACUUAUUUUCUUGUGAAGGAUCGGAGAACGGGGGAGAUUCUUCUUCAAGGACCGUGUGAAAAUGAAGUCUACCCUCUACCCUCAUCGCCUGCUGCUACUCCAAUUGCUUUUGUCCAUGAACGCACAUCAGUAGCUGGUUGGCAUCAGCGCCUUGGUCAUCCAUCCUUCAAAGUUGUCACUCGCCUCAUUAGUUCUUUCUCCCUUCCCACCACUUCAUAUCUUUCUAGUUCUAAUAAUUGUCAUUCGUGUUCUACCAAUAAAGCUCAUUAGUUACCCUUUCAUAAACACGGUCUAACUAGCACAACACCAUUUGAUUUACUUUACACUGAUGUAUGGGGACCUUCUCCCACUCCUAGUCUCAAUGGCCACAGAUAUUAUGUUAUUUUUGUUGAUCACUUUACCAAAUAUGUGUGGUUCUUUCCAUUGCAUCAAAAAUCAGAUGUUAAAACCAUAUUUCCUCAUUUCUACAAAAUGAUUGAAACUCGUUUUAACAUAAAAAUUAAAGGAGUUUAUUCCAAUAAUGGAGGAGAGUUCACUGUUCUUUGACCCUUUUUCACAACCCAUGGCAUUAGUCAUUAUACAACAACCCCUUAUACACCCCAACAAAAUGGAGUGUCUGAGCGUCGUCAUCGCCAUAUUGUGGAGACAGGUCAAACCCUUCUAAGUCAUGCCUCUCUUCCAUCAGAAUAUUGGGCUUAUGCUUUUGCAACAGCCACAUAUCUAAUCAAUCGACUUCCAUCACCUGUUCUUCAUCAUAAAUCACCUCUUCAAGCUCUCUUCAAGCAACAACCUCGGUAUGAAAAAUUACGUUCCUUUGGAUGUUUCUGCUUUCCCUUGAUGAAGUCGUAUAACACAAACAAAUUUCAAAAGAAAUCUGUUCCUUGUAUCUUUGUUGGCUACUCUACUAGCCAAAGUGCAUAUCUAUGUCUUCAUCUACAAAGUCAACGCAUAUACACCUCCAAACACGUAACCUUUGAUGAAUCUGUUUACCCCUUCAAACAGGUUUCCAUGCCAUCACCCACUGACUCAUCCCCACCAGAAACCUCUUCUUUUCAGGACCAAUUUUGCAGCUUGCUUCCAGGGAGCUUCCAGCAAUCACACGGGCUCAAGGAGAUAUCCCCUCUGCUUCUUCGACUCCAAGUGAAGAUCCAGCUCUUGUGCAACCUCAAGAGGCACCACUCUCCACUUCAGAUCAGGUACCUCUUAGACCUUCUACUUCUGUUUCUCAACCAGAAAAUUCAAUACCAUCCUCUCCACCACCAUGUCCACGAACCAUCAUCACUCGCUCCAUGAACAAUAUCUUUCGGCCAAAACAACUCCACACUACCACCAAGCACCCCUUACCUGAACCACCCGAACCAAGUUGUGUAAGUCAAGCUCUUAAAGAUCCUCACUGGCGCAAGGCUAUGUCAGAAGAAGUGACAACCCUCCUUCAACAUGGGACGUGGGAACUGGUUCCUCCCACUCCUGGCCAGAAUCUUGUUGGGUGUAAAUUUGUGUUUCGGAAGAAACGAAAUCCCGAUGGAACAAUCAGUCGAUAUAAAGCUCGACUUGUCGCUAAAGGAUUUCAUCAACGGCCAGGUAUUGACUACUCUCAAACCUACAGCCCCGUCGUAAAGCCAGCAACAAUUAGGCUUCUUUUAACCAUUGCUGUCAUGCAUGGCUGGCCCCUUCGUCAGUUAGACAUCAAUAAUGCAUUCUUGCAUGGUAAUCUUGAAGAAACAGUCUUCAUGCAUCAACCUCCAGGAUUUGAAGAUCCAUCUCAACCUCAGCAUGUUUGCAAGCUAAAAAAGAGUAUCUAUGGUCUUAAACAAGCCCCACGACAAUGGUAUAAGGCCCUUCGGGAUGCACUCCUCAGCUUUGGUUUUAUUCACUCGGCCACUGACAACUCUUUGUUCAUCUAUAAGUCUCAUGAUAUCUUGUGCUACUGCCUUGUUUAUGUUGAUGACAUAAUUGUCACAAGCAACACACUCAGCUUUGUGAAUAACAUUAUCAACAAGCUUGGCUCUACAUUCUCAGUCAAAGAUAUGGGCUCCUUGCAUUAUUUCUUGGGAAUAGAAGUGAUUCCAACGCCACAGGGGCUCUUUCUAUCUCAACAUCAGUAUAUACGGGAUCUCCUUUCACGAACCUCCAUGGAAAAUGCUAAAGAAACACUCACUCCAAUGUCCACUACAACCAAGCUUACAGUUCAAGAUAAUUCUGAAUGUGUUGACAGCACUGAGUAUCGCAAGAUCAUUGGAGCACUUCAGUAUUUGGGACUCACUCGUCCCGAUAUUGCCUUUGCAGUCAACAGAUUAUCUCAGUUCAUGCAGAAGCCGACAACAAACCAUUGGGCCGCAGCAAAAAGACUACUCAGAUAUCUUAAACAGACCAUGUUUCAUGGUAUCCUUCUCCAAAAGCAUGAUCAAUUCCAACUCAAGACCUAUAGUGAUGCGGACUGGGCAUCAAAUACGGACACUCGUGUUUCAACCACUGCUUUCAUCACAUUCAUUGGUCCUAAUCCAAUCUCAUGGUCUGCACGCAAGAAAAGGGCAGUCUCAAGAUCAUCUACAGAAGUAGAGUUUCGGGCACUAGCUACUGCCACAUCAGAAACAAUUUGGCUUCAUUCUCUUAUCAAGGAACUUGGUCUCACUCUCAUAGAAGCACCUCAAAUGUUUUGUGAUAAUAUUGGCGCCAACCAUUUCAGUUUAAAUCCAGUCCAGCACACACGGAUGAAACACAUUGAAAUUGAUCUCCUCUUUGUACGAGAUCUUGUCCAAAAGGGAACUAUUCGUGUUCAGCACAUCCAUACCAUUGAUCAACUAGCUGAUCUCCUUACAAAAUCACUCUCACGUCAACGCUUUCAACUAUUAAGAUCCAAGAUUGGUGUUGCAGAUGGCACCUCCAUCUUGAGAGGGCAUAUAAGGACAGCUAGUAUUCAUGCAGAAAAUCAGCAUCAGAAUUCGUAACUGCAUUUGAUCAGCUAGUUUAGGAAAUCUGUACAGCUCAUUCUUUCCUUUAUUUUCACAUAUGUUGUUAUACGUUAGCACAAGUUUAGGAGUAAUUUUAGUUUCUCAAAUCUGUAUUUAUACCUCUUCUUCUAAUAAGAAUUGUGUGAAUCAUUUUGUCUAAACCUCUAUAGGGGUGGACUUGUUUUCCAUGUUUUUUCUCCUCUAAAGGUUAGGGGUGAAAGCAACUUAUAGCUGAUGGUUGUUUUCAGAAAUAAGCUGAUCAUAUCAUAGCUGACCGAUUUCUUCUUUGGUCAUCUUGAAGCAAUUUUAAUAUUUAUUUUUCAGUCAGCUACCUUCUAUCUCUUCUUAGCUAUCUAAAAAUCCUCACUCAUCGGCCUCCCAAUAUCAAUGAAAUGGUGCCCAAAAUCUGAAGUGGCUUGAAUUCAGUUCAGGUCUAAAUAGUGGUUUCUGAAUGUUGUUAAGUGGUUUAUUUUUACAUGGCAAAACAUCUAAAAUUAGUAAUAAGAUUUAAUUAUUAUCUUUCUUCUUAUAAUUAACAAUAUUUUCAAAUAUCUCAAAAUGCCAAAAUAUAUUCCUUCUUAUUUUAUAAAAUUGGAAUUAGAUAUUUGAAAAGUAAUAAUUUGAAAAAAUAAUAAUAAUUUAAAAUAUUUCCAAAUAACAAAAAUACGAAAAUUGACUACAUUACAAUGAUGGUAAUUAAUAUGUAAUUAAUUAUGAUAGAAGUUAGUGUUUCUAAUUAUAUUUGGCUAUUAAGAAAAUGUUAGAAAUUCUCUAGGUUGAGUUUCCUUAAUUUUUCUCUCUUUUUUUCUAGUGGAUGUUUAGAUAAAUGUGAGUUAUGUUUUGGAGUUUUAAUUGGAGAAAUUCUGUGAUGAUGUUUUAUGUCAGUUUUGUUGCAUUCUGAGGUGUUGAACUUUGAAAAAUUGUAUUAAAUUCAGUUUUUGUGCAGAUUUUAUGAUUUUAAUGUUGUUGUUUUCCCUUUUGAAUAAGGAAUAUAAAAACAUUUACGGAGUUUAAUUUCUUCAAAAAUUAGAUGAGUUAUGAAACCAAAAUAGCAGUUGCAUGUGGUUGAAUCUCGGUUUUUAUUUUAGAACUUUUUGGAUUUAUUUUAUAAUUUGUCAUCCAAAUUAAGCAAUUCUUAUAAUUUUAGUUUUGAAAAUGAAUUUCAAAAGCAUAGGCUAAUUUAUACUUUAUGUAUAUGAGUUUCACUUUGUAUAUACUUUCUGUUUUUAAAAACAAAAAGUAGGAAGUUAUAAAGUAAGGGGGUGGAUUUAUUUUAUAAGUUGAUUUUGGUGUCAAAGAAAUUAUUCUUAACAUAAUUUUUAAAAAAUAAAAAAUAAAUUAUAUUUGAUUGGUAUUAUAAAUUAUGCUUUGUGGACCAAGCAUGACUCAUCUUAUUUGGGCCUCCCACUACUUUAAUCCUACACAGAUGACACAUUUUUAUUAAGAUCCAGAUCCUAUUAUCAUGGACUGGGCAAUGGAGGCUCAGAUCCGGCCGUAAUCAGACAAGUUGCUGGGACGCCAUGGCUGCAACUACGGUUGCCUGUAAAAUGAAACCCAUUUCACAGAUCACCCGGGUUGCCCCGCCAAGAAACGAGCCCUUCAUAAUCUCUGAUUUACUUGGAAAGUAUCAUCAUAGCCCCUCGAUUUAUUUACUUGGAAACAGAUCGAGGACCCUUUGAAGGACCCUAAAUACAUCCAACCAAACAAUAAUAAAUAAAUAAAUAAAGAUGGACAUCACGGGUCCAGGGAGGGCUCAGAUCCGCCCGUAAUCAGACAAGAUCCGUUUUCGCCAUGGCUGCAACUACAGUUGCAUGUGAAAAAAAAGGGCAUAGAAACCCAUUUCACAGACAAUCCGGGUCGCCCAGCCAAGAGAUGGGUCCUUUCAAAAUGUCUGAUUUACUUGGAAAGUGUCAUCACAGCCACUUAAUUUUCCUGCACAUUUUCUCAGCAACCAAACAGAUACAAGAUCCUUCUCAGAAAACACAUUUUAAAACACAAACAAAAAAACCAAAACAAAACAAAACAAAGACCAGCCUCACCUCAGCGCGGAAGUGAAUAGCGCGUAAAAGGAAGGCUCAGAUUCGCCUUUUAUCAGACAAGAAAAAGAUGACCGUCAUGGCUGCAACCACAGUUGCUUGUGAAACAAGGCACAAAAGGUCCCAUCGCUUAAGCCAUCCGGGUUGCCCCGCCAAGAAACGGACAUUCCCAGGGCCUGACUUACUCUGAAAACGUCAUCACAGCCUUUUAUGUUGCCCAUAUGAACAGAGAGAGAGUGAGCGCUGUUGAUAGCCUCUGAUGUAUAUGUAUAUAUAUAUAUAUAUGUAAAAGAGCGAAGGAAAAGGAGCGUAGUAGAAGGAAUCAUCGGCUCCGACGACCAUGAGAGUGGCAGAGGAAAAUAGGGCCUUUUUAGGGAUUCUCUCGUCUGGAGGGCAACUUCAGAAAAGGGCUUCUUGAUGCCUUAGUGAGAGAAGUGGAUGGCCCUUUCGAUUUUUAGAUUUAGUAGAGAGAGAAAACAAGGUUAACAAAUCAUGAGAACAAUUUUCCUCUCUUUAUAUAAAUAAUUAUUAAUUAUCCAUCUUUAUUUUGAUUAAAUCACUACCGAAAUUUCGAUUUUUAUUUUGAAGGACCCUAAAUACAUCCAACCAAACAAUAAUAAAUAAAUAAAGAUGGACAUCACGGGUCCAGGGAGGGCUCAGAUCCGCCCGUAAUCAGACAAGAUCCAUGUUCGCCAUGGCUGCAACUACAGUUGCAUGUGAAAAAAGGGCAUAGAAACCCAUUUCACAGACAAUCCGGGUCGCCCAGCCAAGGACAGGUCCUUUCAAAAUGUCUGAUUUACUUGGAAAGUGUCAUCACAGCCACUUAAUUUUCCUGCACAUUUUCUCAGCAACCGAACAGAUACAAGAUCCUUCUCAGAAAACACAUUUUAAAACACAAACAAAAAAACCAAAACAAAACAAAGACCAACCUCAGCGCGGAAGUGAAUAGCGCGUAAAAUGAAGGCUCAGAUUCGCCUUUUAUCAGACAAGAAAAAGAUGACCGUCAUGGCUGCAACCACAGUUGCUUGUGAAACAAGGCACAAAAGGUCCCAUCGCACAAACCAUCCGGGUUGCCCUGCCAAGAAACGGACAUUCCCAGUGCCUGACUUACUCUGAAAACGUCAUCACAGCCUUUUAUGUUGCCCAUAUGAACAGAGAGAGAGAGAGAGAGCUGUUGAUUUUCCAGAGAAUCAAGACAGCCUCUGAUAUAUAUGUACACACAUGUGUAUGAAAAGAAAGAAAAGAAAAGAAAGAGCGAAGGAAAAGGGCUGUUGAUGGGCGUCGUAGAAGUAAUCAUCGGCUCCGAAGACCAUGAGAUUCAGAGAGGGGCAACCACCCUUAGAAACUCCCCAUCCCUCCGACACGGUCCCUGGAGCCUCAGUCUUAAACUAAUGAGGUCUAGCCCUAACUUUUACUCAUCCUUUCCCUUUUAUACUACUCCCUGUCUUCUUCUUCUUUGCUUUUAUUUUACUUUUUUGACCUUUCUACCCUCACUAAACCCGGUAUCAAGGAUUGAAAUGUCGAAUUUCGGGAAAUUUCCCGAUAUUUCCUACCAGUCCAGCCCGCGCACAGGAUACAAAAUCUGUCCAUUUUUUAAAAAAAAAACACAAGAUGUUAUUUGGUAAUCUGAUCAUGAUUUGCAGGCAAAGGUUGUGUUUUUCAGCCUGGCUCAAAAAUCGUGGAUUUAGGGUUCGUGAAAUUUAAAUCCAAUGGCACAAAAGCAAAGAGACCCCUAGAACAGAUCCAGAAAACACAGGGAGCAAAAAAAAAAGCAAUUUUUUUGGUUUUCCUUGGGGGUUUUGCGUGGAUUUUCUCGGAAAUCAAACGAGGAUGAAUUUUCCCGGAAAUCGAAUGGGGGAUGGAUUUUCUUGGGAAUCAAACGGGGGUUGCAAAAAAAAAAAUAACAUGAUUAGAUUAGUACCUGCGAGGAUUGAGAGUGGCAGAGGAAAAUAGGGCCUUUUUAGGGAUUCCCUCGUCUGGAGGGCAACUUCAGAACAGGGCUUCUUGAUGCCCCAGUGAGAGGAGUGGAUGGCCCUUUCCAUUUUUAUAUUUAGUAGGGAGAGAAAACAAGGAAACAAAUCAUGAGAACAAUUUUCCUCUCCUAUAUAAAUAAUUAUUAAUUAUCCAUCUUUAUUUCGAUUAAACCACUACCAAAAUUUCGAUUUUUAUCAGUAAUAUUUUAUAAAUUAAAAUUAAUUUAAUAAGAUAAAUUAUUAAUAAUUUUAAUUAUUUAAAUAAAUUAAUGUUAAUAAAAAAUUUAUUACCACAUAUAUAUAAAAUAAAAUCUUAGAAAUUAAAUAUCAAAUAAAGUAUUUAUAUAAAUUAAUUUAAUUUUUCAUAUAAAAUGUAAUAAAAAUUUAUAAAUAAAUAUUGUCUUCAAUAAGAUGAUUCAUUAGAUGAAACCAUAUCAAUCUUCAUUUUGAUACUAAAGACUAUUACAAUAUCAUAUGUAUUAUAUUUAUGUAUAAAUUGUUUUUACUCAAUAAAAUCAAAUAUUUUUUAAUUCAAUUUUAAUUUUAUACAUUUUCAAAAUUCAUAUUUAUUAUUCUUAAAAUUCAAAUAAAUCUACUGAUGUUUUUCUUCUUGAUCAUAUCUAUAUCAAUUAUAUUUAUAAAAUAACUCUAAAAUAUGUAUUUUUACUUAUUUUAUCAUUUUUUUUAUAAUUUUCUAAAUAUUCCUAUAAAUUUUAAAUAAUUUUCGUUCCACCAAUAUUUUCAUUCUAAUCUUGUAUCUAUCGAAAAUAAAUGAAAGACAAUUUUUUACAACAAAAUUUUUUAUGAUUUUUAAAUCAAAAGUUAGUUUUAAAAUCUCAAAUAUUUUUAAUCCACUAUUAUGUUUUUAAAAUUAUAUAAUUAUUUUUUAAAAUAAUAAAAACAAAUAAAAAUAAUUAAGAUUAUGUUUAGUUUGUUAAAAAAAAAUAUUUUAUCAAAUUUGAUUUAAUAGUGAAAAUAAAAAUAAAAUAAUAAUUAAAAUUACUUAAAAACCAAUGUAACUUAAAUUUUUUUUUUUUUUGAUCUUUAGCUUAAAAAAAAAAAAUAAAUAAAAUGAAUUUGAAAAGAUAAUUAAUCUCUCUAAAAGGAAGAGACUCAAAAUUAUCGGAGGAAGAAAAAAAGGGAGUAAGAUUUGAAGGAUAAAAAUAAAGAAGGAACAAGUGGGUGGGUAUUGCAUUAUAUCCAUGAGUUGAUCAAUAACUAGCUCCAUUUCCUUUCCUUUAUUUUCUUGCCAGCCAAACAAAAUCUCAAGCCUGGAACCAUCAUCCCAGCAACCAUUUAUUAAAAGCCAUACACCAAGGAUUCGUAUAACACCAUGGAAUCAACCAUCAUCACCCUCUCAAACCUACAUGCCAAAGCUACACAGACUACUCCCAAGUUCCCAAAUAACCAAGCUUCAUAUCUACUAGCUCCAAAACGGUUAAACAAGAUGAAAGAAGGAAAGGAAGAGAUUACUUGAUGAGAGCCUGGUAAAGGCAGAUCUGCAAAAAUUACAAGCCUUGUCCACAUAGCUUUAUUUAUAGCCCCAUGAAAGCAGAAUUACUUCUUCAUUACCAAAUGUCAGUAUAGGCAAUGCCAGACCUCCAUCUUCCCAUGGCUGCCAAGCCCUUUUAUCAAUAUGUGAAGAUGCAAACCAAAAUGGUUAGCCCAUCAUCCAAAGCUAGCUCCUCCUCCUCCUCCUCCUUAUUUACACCUAACAGUUUCCCUGAUUCACAACAAGUUCAAUUUCCUUGCUUAACAUCUUUCAGAUAGAACAGAACAAUUACGAUUACAAUCACAAAAUGUAACACCACCCCACAUCUUCCUCUGUUUAGCUAAGCAUUACAAGACCUCAAAGUUGAUGUUCCAUCAUCAUAAUAGGCAUGGUGUAUUUCCAGUCUCAAACAAGUUAGGUUCCAUCCUAACACCAUAAUGGUGGGUUGUUUUACAUCAGACAACGAAUCUGAGUCAGUUAACAGGCAAAAAGAAACAUUCAAUAGUUCAAGAAGAUGGCUUAGAAUUUUCUGAAAACCUCAAAACUGUUUUCAUUUAUAAUUACAAACCAACCCAAAAGUUGAACAAUAUGAGGCACUGGGCUGAACAAUCACCUCAGAACUCUGGUAAAAAGAAUGAAGGUUUCUAUAGAUAAAAUGGCCUUUGCAAAUAAAGCAAUGAGAAAAACGGGAUAUAAAUUAAGGAAUAAUAGAAUGAAAAUGUUGAAAGGAAUUUCACAUGGCUUCGAAGAAUGAAUAGAUUCCGUACCCUUGCCGAGAAAUUACAUGGCUGCCUUGCCCCUCUGUUGAAGUACUAUAUCAUGCACAACUUCCCCUGCUGAGUUAACAAAGUAGGUUUCCUGCCAUGGAAAAAGAACAUUUGUUGGUGCUUCAACAAGAACAAAUUUAGUCAAAAAAGACAAAUACUCACAAUCUCUAAGGAGCUGACUCUAUGAAGAAGGAACCCAUUAACCAUUCCCCUGAGGAAACAAAGAAAAAAAUCACACAAACUUCAUAGUUUCAUAUGUAUGAACCAAUGUAGAACACCAUGAAGAACUAUGAACAGAAAUACUCACUUACUAAAACCUGAUAUUCCAUUUACAGAAGCAAGAGGAAGUUUUUCAUCUAUUGAACCUGGGUUCCUGAUGUAAGCUAUACUAUCUUUACGAGCAUAGUCACUACAUCCCUCCCCACUCAGGUACACAUCCUGGUGAGCAAAUGCAUGGAUAAAGCGUUACUUUCUUCAUAGGCACCAGAAAGAUUCCAAAUUUAACAUAUCAGAAAGUUGUUCAUUCAAUUCAUUAGGAACUGUCUUAGAUUUUCAUAUAUAUUGAAAAUUUGGACUUUGAUCAUCUCAAAAGCAAGUUCUCUAAAGAACCCAAAAUCAAAACCUUGGGCAUGGGAUGUCUUCACCCAUUGAUACUCAAUGGGAAGAGCCAUAAAUACUUACCACUCCAAACUUAUAAAAAAUAUGGUGUAGAUGCUCAUAAAGUUGUAUUUCUAUUCAUUCCCUGUUUCCUUCACAAACAGCCAAUGAGCAGAAACCAACAACUAUGCGCCUGGAUCAUAAGGAGGAAAAAAGGAGACAAUUAGUACUUGGGAUGGAUAGUUUCUUUAUUAAGUUAAACAUGGAGUUGAAAUGGUAGGGGUGCUUGGCAAUGGCAACAGGACAGCAAACAAUGAAGGUCCAACAUAGUAACCAGAGAAAACAAAAGGAAAACGAAUGUUUUAACUCCACAACAAUUUGGGUUAAGGCAAAAUUUAAAUGAAAACCAAAAUUUUAUUGUUGAAAGAAAGAAAAUUUGUGAAAUAAAAUUAAGUUGAGAAGUAGAUUAUCACGCAUCAGAACCACUCUGAACUGACAUGAUUUUCAAUUUUUUCAAAAUUUUCCAGACAUUACAACCUUGCUUAUUCCUAGGUUCAUGCAAUUAUAAACAGCCAAUAUGGUGCAAUGUCUAGUGUCUUUGUCAGCCCAUGUAAUUGAUCAUUUCCAGCACCAUUUAACGGAUUCAUAAGCAUAAAAUCCUUCAAGUUUCAAAGAGGAGCCCGAUUAAGAGGAAAGAAGAAUGAAAUGCAGCAUAAAGGAGCAGAAACCAAAAAAAAAAGAAACAAAUGGGGGAUAAAAUGUGUGAUAAAUACAUAUAUGGGAUAUUGAUAGUGUAACUAAAUGAAAUAGAUAUCAAAUCAAUCAUAUACACAUAUAAAUACAACAUAGAAAUAAGCAUGGCCAUGGUGAAAAAGGGCUGCAAUGUGGGUUGUAACCAGAGAAUGGAAUAUGGACAAGGAGCAUAAAAAAUGAUUUGGCAGGCCAAGAAAUGGCUAUUUUAAUAUGAUGAAAAAGAAAGAGAACAAAAGAAAUUCAUUAUGAACAUGACUUGAAGAGUACACCUACGCUCAAAUAAUGACCAAGUGAUCAACUUUAAAAUCACAUUCCUAACCUCAGCCCUACCCCUCAUGGAAAAAUGGAAAAAAAAAAAAUUCUUAAAAGGCCUUGAGAGGGGUAAACCUGCUGGGACUCAAACCUGGAACCACCCCACAUCCCCACCCCCAACCCAAGCUACUCGAGCCACACCUCAAGGGUGAUAAAGAUCUAACCUUCAGCAUUGAAUAAAAAAUAAUCUAAAUGUGCAAAAAAUAUCCAGCAUUUUCUCAUGCAUUUUAAUUGCUUACUAGACUAGAUAGAAUCUCCAGUCAUUGAUGAGAACAAAGAACUCAGUGUCUUUAUUAUUAUUAUUGAAUAAAAAAUAAUCUAAAUGUGCAAAAAUAUCCAUUAUUUUCUCAUGCAUUUUAAUUGCUUGCUAGACUAGAUAGAAUCUCCGGUCAUUGGUAAAAUUCAAUAAUUCCAAUUUCCACCAGUUGAUUUGUCAAGUCCCUAAUUAAAUAAUGAAAGAUACAAUACUUGAUGAGUUAUAUACUAAAAUACUUGUGCUUCCCAAUCUAAUUCUAACAAGAACCCUACAAAAUGCACACCUUAAUCCAACUCAACCAACACUCAAUCUUGCGAUUACCUCAUAGUCCACAAGGUACAUCGGAGAGACCUAACUUAUCUUGAUGUUACAAGAUUUCACAUGAACAUCUGAAUACUGGUUUCCAUAAUUCUUUGUUAUCAUACAUCUCCUGGGGCAUGGUAAAGAUGAAUAUAAAAACAAAAUGAAAUCAAUACAAGAAGUUGAUAGCCCCUCUAUGAUCAUAACUGGGGUCAGCACAAUCAGUAACAUAAGAUUCAUGGUGUAGUAUUGAAGUGUAUCAUAAACUCAACACAAGCAUAUGCAAUGUCAAUUAUCAUUAAGUCAACAAUGAUAUUAAACAUUGGUAUAAACAAAUGAAACAAUGACAACACAACAGGAAAAAACCUUAUACAACUAUUAAUCUAUCCUCUUUGGUAGUCUUUUAUCAUCUUCCACAAAUUUCCCAUUUUCCUCCAUAUGCUGCUCAGAAUCCGACCCCAUUUUUUUUGUAUCUUUGUCAACAUUAAAGGAAAUAAAUGCAUGCAACUUUUAAAGAUUUGAGGCCAUGUGAAAAACUUGUCAUUUGAUGUCAAGUUUUUUUUUAUAUGAAAAGGUUUUCCAAAAUGAGAAUUGCAGAACUAUCAAUCUAUCUUCAUCUAGGUUUGGAGCUUCUCAAGUCUUUUAUCAAUUAUCAUCCUCCAUAAAAUUCCAGUUUUCUUCUGUACAUUGCUCAACCUCCAACAUAAUUUUUAAUUUUUUUUCUAAUUAAGAUUAAAUACAUGCAUAUUUUGAAGAUUAAGCCAUGUGGAGAAUUGUCAAUCAAUCGUAAGUUUUUCCUAUAUCAAAUGCAUUUUUUAAAAUUUUCGGCCUUGUUGGAAAAAAGACCUAAUGAGAUGGGUUUGUAUCACAAAACACUAAGGAUUGACUCAAAAGUCCCAAUGAAAUUAUAGCUACUGUAAAAACCAUGUAACCGCUUCCAAACUUAAACCCAUAUUACAAGAGGAUAGUAGAAGAGGCCUCUCUUCCGACUGACAUAAUAACCAUGAGAAGUAUUAGCCAACAAAUCUUAAAUUGAGCAAAUUCAACAAACCAGUUGAUACCUUAAAUGCCCCAGUAUCCAAACCAAUAAUGUCUAAGGUUUUCCCAAAAGGUAUUUUGAUCUGCUUUAGGAAGUAACCUGUUCCCCGUCCUCUUGAAACUCUGGUACUGUACCUACAAGAAUUACAAUUCAGGAUUACCACACAAAGAGACUAAACCAAAAAGACUGUUACAUUAAAAACUACAUCGGAGUCCAAGUUUUGUAACAAUGAAAUUUCAAAAGAUGAGCUACAAAAAUGACACAACUGAUUGCAAAGCGGAUGGCAUACCAGGGAACUUUCAGUGUUGAAAAACGCCAAGUACCCUGUAAAAGAAGAUGUCAUCUUCUAAGAUUGUUCCUAACAGAUGAAACCAAUGAAAUCUAAUUAAACUCAGCACUAAUUUAUUUUCCAAUCACACACCUAUAAAACAAAACAAAAUAAAACUACAGAAAUAAAUAUGAACCACUAUUCCAUUACUUCAACCAAAGCAUGGUUUCUAUUAUUUCAGUUAAAUUCACAAAAAGUUAGGAGAGAAUCAUUUCUACAACUUACCCAGAGUGAAGCAACGCAUAACUUUGAUUAAAUCUGGCUAAACUACAACUAAAGUUUCCAUAUAAAUGGAGUGUAAGCCUAAAGGUGCCACAAGAGAGUUCAUAUAAAAAAUAGUAAAAGGGCUUCCCACAUUGAAUUUACUAGCCAUGGUCUUACAUUGUGUGAGUUGAUCGUCUUCCCCAAGUUCACUAAUGUUUAUCACAAACCUUGCCUUAUAAGUCUUUGCGGCCUUCUCCAUCUUCAUGGGAAAAAACAAUUCCAAUUAGAACAGGGAAGAUAAAAUAUAAACUCAAAAUGCAAUUAAUGUAGUAGACGAUAAUCAUUCAACUAAGAUCAGUAACAGAGGGGGGAAAUAACAAAGCCUAAAAACAGAGAAGGUGGAAGGCAGAAGUAAGUUGGAUGAAUUAGAACCAAGAAGACAAGACAAGAUCAAAACCAACAGAUGAGAAGGCUGACACAAACAAUUGAGAGAGAUCAAAAACUGAACCAUAUAAUAAAAAACUCACUCACAUGAUUAUUCUCUGGCCAAAAGAUAAAGGUUAUGUUAUUAUUUUUUUAUGUUUAGUUUCAAAGUAGAAAAUAAGCGAUAAAAUCAAAUAUAAUUAAAAUUAUUUAAAUUAUAUAUAUUUUUCAAUUAUUUAGUCUAUACAUAGAACAGAAAAAAUAAAUAAAAUGAAUUUGAAAUAAUAUAAAAAAUAAUUUAUUAAAUUUAAUUUAUUUUUAAAUUUUCUUUAUCGCUUUUUCUUUCUUCCUAUUUUUCUUUUCCAUUUUUUUCCCACAUUUUCUCUUAAAUUUUCCACUAAGCAAACAAAGCCAAAGAUCCUCAAGUUGCAUAUACAAUUAAAAACGGAAAAAGAAAGAUCUUCUACUGUUCAACAACUGUCAUAUUAAAAAAAAUAAUAAAAAUAAAAAUUCGAUCCCAGUAAAACCUAACACAAAAUUCUUUCCUCAAAGUUAAAUCAUUCACAUAGAAAUUAACUGAGAAAGAAAUAAUAAACUGUUUGGUUGCUGAGAAAAUGGAGGCAUAGAAAAGGAAAUCAAAAUUUUGAAACUCUAUUAUUUCCAUUAUUCGAAGGCCCGGAAGAAAGAGGGAAAAAACUUCCACUCUUACCUUAAUUUAGGUUGUUUUGUCAAUUUCGAGGGAGGAAAAAACAGGAAAUUAAUUUCAAGCGAUUUCACUUUCAGCAUUCUCAGUAACCAAACGGAGCGUCUGAUAAAACUAUCAUAUCCACCAACAGAGCCAAAACCAAAUAUACCCACCAUCAACAUCUUAAAACAAAAUCCAUAAAGAACGAGAAAAACCCAUGCUUUUCUUCAAUGAACAAAAGGAAUCAAUAGAGAGGAUGAGAAAUAGACCUGUUUGAGAAGAUGGGUCUGCUGAUUAAGAGGUCUAAAUCCUCCUCUAACACUGAUAAAGUAAAGGUCAAGAGGCCUGCUACUGCCACUGCUGCUCUGGGACAUGGGCUUCUCCCAAGGCCGACCCAAGUUGAAUGCACAAGCAGAGAGACAACUGUGUUAUAACAGUGCGAACCCAUGAAGGUUUCCCCAUUGUUAACACAGGUCUCACAGCCUCAGCUCUUCAACUGGUAAUUGAUUUCACUCAUAGAUCUGAAGAUAUAUGAGGAAUGUAACCGUCGACACCCGUAUCUCUAAUUUCCUCAGUGUUAUCAAUUGCUUGAUUAAGAUAUUCGCUAAUGAAGCUCCACUUGG
rnacentral:lncRNA from 1 species